rnacentral:lncRNA from 1 species
UGAAAGAGAAUUAUUAGUUGAAGAAAACCCAAGAAAGGGUGGUCUUAGAACCAUGCCUUUUAUCAUUGGUAAUACUCUUUUUUUUUCUUUUUUUUUUUUUAACAUUGUUUAAGUACUACUAAUUAUUUCAUUUUUUUUUCAGUGAAUGAAUCAUUUGAAAGGGUAGCAAGUUUUGGUUUACAAACAAAUUUGAUAAUCUACUUGAUGACAUAUUAUAACAUGAGUGCUGCUACUGGAACUAGUAUUCUUGGACUAUGGGGUGCACUUUCAAAUGGAUUGGCUCUUUUUGGGGCAAUUACUGCUGAUUUUUACUUGGGUCGGUAUAGGGCUGUUGCCUAUGGAUCCAUCUCCACUCUUAUUGUGAGUGUUUUGAUGACAAUCUGUUAUCUCACUAGUGCAAAUGUUUUUUCUUAUUUAUUUAUAGAAAAUGGUGAUGUUCAGACUAAAUUGGGUUAAGUUUUAACAUUUUUCUUGGACAGGGAAUGAUUAUUCUAUGGCUCACAGCGAUGAUUCCACAACUCAAGUCUUCACCGUGCUCUCAGAUCCAACAUGUUUGUAAUGGAGUAACAGCACUCCAACUUGCUGUUCUGUUUUCAUCUUUUGUGUUUAUGUCAAUUGGAGCUGGUUUUGUUAGACCUUGUUCCAUAAUAUUUGGUGCUGAUCAAUUGGAAAAUAAAAAGAACCCCGAGAACGAGAGGAUUCUUGAAAGCUAUUUCAAUUGGUACUAUGCUAGCUCAGGGAUUUCAACCAUUCUUGCAGUUACCCUUAUUGUUUAUAUUCAAGAUAGUUAUGGUUGGAAAGUUGGCUUUGGUGUCCCUGCUAUCCUAAUGUUUUUGUCUGUCUUGAUGUUCCAAAUCGGUUCUCCUCUUUAUAUCAAAGUGAAAGCUAAAACUACGGAAAACUUGGUCAUAGGAUUGUUUCAAGCAGCUGUAGCAGCUUUUAGGAAAAGAAAUACCCGUCGUCCAUUGAGUGAUUGUGAUGAAUUCUAUCGUUGGCCACUGGAAUCAGAUGUCUUGCCUCCAUCAAAGGACUUCAGGUCAGUGUGUCCAUCUUUUCUUCUUUUUUCAGUGCUAUAUGAUAUUGCAGUUCAUUGUAAUGAAAGUUUUAUUGUAUGUUAUAGGUGUUUAAAUAGAGCUUGUAUGAUUGAAGAUCCUGAAAGAGAUUUGAAUCCUGAUGGAUCAGCUUCAAAUCCAUGGAAUCUUUGUAGUGUGGAACAAGUUGAAUCACUGAAGGCUCUUAUUAGAGCACUUCCUAUGUGGUCCACCUGUUUCAUGAUCUUUGUGGAUAUAAAUGUCUUUUCAUUUUCCUUGCUUCAAACCAAGACAAUGGAUAGACACAUCUUUCCUCACUUUGAAGUACCAGCAGCAUCAUUCAGUGUGUUUAUGAUUAUUGCUUUAACAAUCUGGAUUGCUUUCUACGACCGUGUUUUGGUCCCUUUGCUAUCAAAAUAUACAGGACAACCAAGAGGGUUAAGUCCUGUCACCCGAAUGGGGAUUGGCUUAAUAUCCUCUGCUAUGUCUAUUGCAUUGUCAGCAAUAACAGAAAGCAUAAGACGACAAAGGGCAAUAGAAGAAGGGCUUGAGGAUGACCCAAAUGCUUUAGUGAACAUGUCUGCUAUGUGGUUCGUGCCACAAUAUGCACUACUCGGAGUUGCUGCGGCUACCCAUGGAGUUGGACAGGUUGAGUUUUUCUAUGCUUUAUUUCCCAAAAGCAUGUCCAGCAUCGCGUCAUCUAUGUACACUGUUGGGACUGCUGUGUCGAGUUUGAUUGGAAGUAUUCUGGUGAGUGGUGUGGAUUGGCUUUCAUCAACCGGUGGUAAAACAAGCUGGCUUUCGAGCAACAUUAAUAAGGGUCACAUUGAUUACUAUUUCUGGUUUCUUUCUGUCUUGGGUUUUCUCAACUUCUUAUAUUUUUUGGUCGUCUGCCGAUUUUAUGAAUCUCUCAAUGAUGGGAGCAGUAGGUUAUCUCAUGUGGCUGAAGAGAAAGAAGGUGAUUAUACACUCUUACAUGAAUCUUGAUGUUAUGUUGUACUGCAUUCUUGAAUGAUGCAAUUAUUACUAAUUAUAUAAACAAUAUGGGCACAAUUCUAUUCUUUUCUUGAUUCCUAAGUAUUUGAUUGUCAAGAAGAGUCUCAUACCUCAAUUUCUUUAUGAAUAUUUCAAGAGUUUAUGGGAUAUUCAAGAUGCCUCUAUAUUAGAGUCUGGAGCCAAAAUGACAACUUGUUUGCUCCAAAAUGCAUAAUGGGCCACCCAAUUUUUUUAAAAAAAACAAAAUAGAAAAUUCGCUUACGAGUGAGCGGGAUCCUUUAUGAUUUUAAUAGCCAUUAAAAACGUCCAAUGAGAAAUGUUAAACAUUUUUUUUAACAAAAUAACUGCUAGAGCAGCGAGUUCCAUAAAAAAAAACCCAUAAAAUUGCUGCAGCGGCGAGUUUAUUUAAUGUAUUUUACUUUUUUUAAAAAAAACACAUACUCAUAGCAGCUUUUUUCAAAACUUAAUUUUAAAGAGUAAUGCUAAAUGACCAGAAAAUUAAAAAGUUUAUAAUAUUUUUUUUAUUUUAAAAUAAAUUGUUCUUUUUUCCACUUUUUAAUUAAAAUGUAUUAAAAUUAAAAGGGUAAAAAUAUUCAAAAAGAUAAAAUAAAAUAAUGUGAAAUAUAUUAUUUUACCAUUCUAGCUAAAUUUUCUGGCCAAAAGAAUUUUGUCAAUUUUAAAACUAAUAACCUAUAGACAAUUUUGUUUUUUCCUAUAUUGAUUGAAAUAUAAAAAUGGAAGUACAUUGGAAUCAUAAUACUAAUUAAUAAUAUGUAAUGGAAGUACAUUGGAAUCAUAAUACUGUUUCUGUGCCUAAUUACUUGUUCAUUUUUUUUUUAGUUUUCUUUAAUUACUUGUCCAUUUUUCCUUUUUUAGUUGUACUUAAUUACUUGUCCAUUUUUUUAAACUAUUAUACCCUUAAUUAAUUACAUUGAAAAAGAUAAGACUUCUUGAAAACUUUAAGUUUUUAAGUCAUCCAUUUCAUAAUUAAUAAGGGUAAAAUGAUAAAGUCACUAUGUCAAUAAUUAUUUUCUUAAUGUGUGUCAAUUCAAAAGUAGACAAAUAAUUCGGGACAUGGGAGUACUAAUUAAUACUCAUUUGCUACCAACUCUUAAUAAAUCCAAGUGGGAAUUAAUAAUUCCAAAUUUACAAUUAAUUAAAUUGAUCUAUUUUAAUUUGAAUUUUAAAGUUAAUCAAUUUAAUUCUUGAAAUGCAAACCUGAUCACUUUAUGUGAUAAUUCUUUUUGGAUCCUUAUAAUUGUUUAAAGUUGUGUUUAAUGUAGUUGCAAAGGCAUUUGCUAUUGCCACUGCUCUUGUCUUUGAUGGUUCAGCCUUACAAUUGGCUUGAUAUGGGCCCUUUAUGCAUUUUGGAAGAAAAAAAUGCUUUUUGACUUUGAAAAUUCAAAUAUAUUAUUUCUUAUUUAGACAUGAACUAUAUAUAGUUUAGAGUAGUAGUUUCCAAGAAUCUCAAAUAAGUUGCACUCGUCUUAGCUUGUGUAGUCCCACAAAAUUUUGAUGUCUAUAGAUAUACAGUUCACCAAUUUACAACUACCGUCGUCACUCACCAUUAUUAACUAUCACCAUCUACAUUCAUCAUCAUAACAGCUCCCAAUCGCUAAUAAUAAUUGUCAUUAUUAUAUAUCGCCACAAAUCGUAAAUAUUCUCUACCUUCAUUAGCUAUUAUAUUAACCACAUUUACAAUUAUUAGCAUAACAACUUUCAAUCACUAAUGAUAAUAAUAAUUAUUAUUAGUCAUGGUAAAAAAAAUUAUAAUUAUUCUUCACCAAUUACUUCUCCACUCUUACUAUGAGUUAUGCCAUUUUCACAAUUUCAACACUAUGUGGUAGGUGGGGGCUACUCUGUGGCUGGCUAGAAAUAAAAAAAUGACACGAGCUAAAUGAGUUAUUUCCUUGUGGAUGGGUGACUACAAUUAUUAACUUUCAAGUAGUAUAAUAUUUUGCUAUAAAUUUUAGUAUGAUAACAAGUUAUACAUCAUAUUUGAUAUGUUAUUUUUCUACAUAGUAAAUUAUGAUUAUUUCCAUUCUAAUAUAUUGUUUACGUGACUAUAAAUCAUUUCAUUAAAGAUAAAAUUAAUAUUUUAAAGUUAAAUUGUUACGAAAUAUAGAAGACAUAAUAAAUAAAUAUGAAAUUUAACUUGACUUCAGUUGACAUACAUGUCCUCCAACUCUGAGUGUGCACAACUAAACAUUUAAACUUAUAUAAAAUUGAAUAAAUAAACAAUUCAUCCUACGUUGCAUCCUACGUGGCUAUUGUAUGUCAUAUGUAAUGUCCUACGUGUACUAAACUGUUCUUUUAAAAUAUAUAUAGGAAAAUUCAAUAUUAUUUAUCCAUUUUAAAAUGAACGAAAAAUUAAGUCAGCAAGAUGUUUAUGAUUUGGUCUUAAAUUGAAAUCUCUAUUCGUCAUAAUAAAUCUCGAUCUGGAAUCAACUUCAACUGCUACACUUAGACAUGUGGAUUCCUUUCAUCUAUAAGAUGAUCACACCUAACACCGAUUUUAUAUUAGUCUGUUAAAAAAAAAUGUCAUUUUUUUUAUAUCUCUUUAAUUUUAUUUUUUCAUGAUAACAUAUUUAAAAUUAUAAAAUUAAAAAAAAAUAAUUUACUUUGAUGUGUUGGGUAUAUAGUAAGAAUAAAUGAAAAAUGGAGGAAAGAUGAAAGGACGGAUGAUGAAGUGUUCUCUUAUGCUUUAAUAAAAAAAAAUUCUUACUCAUUGGUGGAGGGAAAAAAGUUUUGUGUUUAAACAACGAAAUACUUUUAUUAGUCAUUAAAUGGGUUGGAAAGAGGGACUCCUUAUGUCAUCGCUUGCAAGAUUUUUGCUUUGGAAAAUGAUUGAGAGAUUAUUUUUUUGAUAAAGUUUUCUUUAAUUAUUAAUUUAAUUAAUUAUUAAUUUAUUAAUGAAUGGCAAAUAUCUUUUCCAUUUUAUUUUAAUUUCUCACCAUUUUCUAAUGAUUGUUCUGAAAGGUUGCAAACUUACAAGAACAACCAUGUCUUAGUGACUAUUCUGGAAGGUUGCAAAUUUUCAGAAACAGUUUUCUUCGCUUUAAAUACUUGUGAUUCCUCAGACUUUUCACUAUGAAUUUUUUUGAACUUCUUCUUCUUUUGCAUAAUUAAAUUUAGUAUUCUAGAGUACUUUGCUCUCGUUGAGUGGCUCGCUGACACCAUUGUUUUUGUACCAAUACACUGGUGAGUAGAAUCUUUUUAUCCUGAGAGGAUAUAUUCGUUUAAACCUUGGUAGUGGAGGAGAAUAAUUUCCUUAAUGACACAUUUUACAUUCAGUGUGCUCGAUAUUAUUUCUUUCUGUUUCAUCUUACUGUUACAGAUUCUGAUAUGUCUUUACAAUCAUUAAUUUAUGUUUUUGAUUAUAUGCUUUAAAUUUAUUCUUAUGCAAAGUUAUUGUUCUAAGUAUUUAUUAGUACAUAUUAGAUAAAAUGAUGUACACUCAAAAAUUAAACCAGAAGUAUAUAUAGGCCAUUCAGCUUACUAAAUACAACAUCGAAUUUAAGGCAAGGAACAGUCCCAUCUCAAUGAUUAUGUAUUUAACAUGUCAAAUUCAAAUCGUAACUUUUUUACAUAUCAACGAUUGGUAGAGACUUCUAAUUUUUUUCUUUUUAAAUGAGUGGGAUCUUGUUGGGGGCCAUUACUAAUGAUUCUUACUUGGGUCGGUAUAGGGUUGUUGCCUAUGGAUCCAUGUCCACUUUUAUUGGCAGUUGUGCCAUCUUCAACGUGUUUCUUGUUUUCCUUUUACUCGUUUGUUCUUAAUUACUUGUUCAUUUUUUUUUAUUCGUCUCUUUUUACUUGUUCAUUUUGAUAAAUCAAGAAAUGACAUUUUUUUUACUAUUAUACCUUCAAUUAAUUAGGCUCUUAUUCUAUUUAUUCUAUUGGAUCUAUAUGUCGGAUAGGUAAUCGACACAGAAGUCUCAUUGUUCGUGGUAUUGCAAUAAAUUCAUUAUAUGAUAAUUGAAAAAGGUAAAAUUUCUUAAAAAAUCUUAAAAUUUUAAUUCAUGCAUAUCAUAAUUAAUAGGAUAAAACAGUAAACUCAUUACUUGUAGACUGGAUGCCAACAAACAAUAUCAAAUAUUAUAGCAUACUAAAUUUAUAUAAAAAUACCUAGUUUUACGGGUUUGUGUGCCCUAUAAAUGAAUUCAUGUCAUAGAAUUAAAAAUUAUAUUCCUCACUAGCAUAUGACUGUGCCAAUUCUGUUCUGCUAAUAAUCCCGUCAUACCAUUUGGAGGAGACCUUGCAAAUUGAUUUUGUUUUUUCACUAUACUUAAAAGAAGCUUUACCUUUACUUUUUCCGUUUCAAAAUAAAUGAUAUUUUUUAAUUUUUCUAUUUUAUUUCAAAGGUGUUUCAAAAAGACAUAAACACUGGUUGAAUAGAGCUUGCAUGAAUGAAGAUCCUCAAAGAGAUAUAAAUCCCGAUGAAAUUACUUUAACAAAAUGUUAAUAUUAUUAAGAUAUUUAUUCAAACGAUAUUACAAAGAUGUCAAUUCAUCAAUUUCAUCCAAUCACAACUAUCAUCACUUACCAUUACCAACUAUUAUUAUUAUUAUUAUUAUUAUUAUUAUUAUUAUUAUUAUUAUUAUUAUGUCAUAUCAACCAUUACCGCCCACGACCCAAAUUAUCAUUCCACCACUACCAUUAUUAAGCAAUUAGAACCGACUAAACAAAAUUAGGGUCUAAAACAAAACUUUGAGAGAGGCCCUAAAAUUGGGAGACAUUUCAUCCAUGUAUGUCAAGUCAAUUGGGAUUUACUAAUAAAUAAAGAUAUACUUAUUUAUAUUUGUUGAGUGCACCCGCCAACAACGUAUAUAUUCAGCGGAAUCAACUCAACAUCAAACUAAUGAGAGAAGUAUUGGAAAUACCUCUCAACUUGAUGAAAAUUAUUAGUUUAGUCUUUAAAUUAUUGACAACUUUAAAAACACUCCUCUACUUGACUAACUAAACUUAGAUACACUCCGAUCUGCCACAUGAAAUGACAAGUGGUCUCAAUCUUUUGUAGGAGUAUGGGUCUCUUAAUAAAAAGUCGAGAGAAGUGUUGAAAAACCCUCCAACACUUCUAAACUUGACGAGAAUUUAGAGACGUAGUUCACUCUGUUGCAGAGGUGAAGAGGAAAAACGUAACAGAGAGACAUAGUGAAAAUGGGGACAGAAUUUUUUUUAUUAAGAAAAUAUUAUUGGACUGGUUUUAAGAGUCACCAAUUAAUUUUUAAGAAAAAUCAAGAAAACUAUUGUUUUCAAAAGACUAAAACAGCAAUCUAGUGAAAACUUAAAAAAGGGUUCGAGGUUCUUAUUAACAUUCUAGGAAGGUUUUAAAAGCACCUAGAAUAUCCACUAAUGUGGUUAUCCGACAAUUAAUUAUUUGGCUAAAUUCAUUUGACUUAAUUUGAAUUGAACAACCUUUAUAGUUAGAACCGUCUUAAAAGGGAAAAGGGAGAAUACGGGAAUACUAUCUAAGUGAGAUAAUUUGCAACAUUUAUUCUUUAAGUUUUGUUAAACGAUGACUGAUUUAGUUAAGUUGUUAAAUCAAAAUGGGCGUCUUUUGGGGAUUUGAAUUUUUCGCCCUUAAGAUUAGCGGCAAAUAUCAACAAGCACACAAACACAAUAAAAUAGAAAGGGAAAGAGAUUCGGGCCCAAGUUUGGUUUUCUGUCCGCCUGGACCAACACUUGGGCCUAAUUUCAUUCUGGGCCAAAAGGCCCAAUUCUUGCCACCUGUCCUAAAUUCUAACAAUAUAAUAGCAAAUAAAUGGGCUUAGGCCCAAAAGAAACAAAAUACAAUUUUGAAAUAAAGAGUGGGCCUUUGGCCCAAUCUUUUCAACUUCUCGAUCUAUUGCUUCUUUCAACUUCGGGACCUGUUCGUCGAUUUUCAAUGAUCGAUUGACUCGAAAGGAGGGAUUUAAGCCUUUUACGGCUCUCUCGAAAUGCAAAGGGAAGAUGGGGUUCAUAAAGAGCUCAGGCAGAUUUCACAUGCAAUAAAAUAGUAAGAAGUUAGCAUACAAAGCAAACAGAACAGAUGAGAUAUAAUUUAAAUAAAAUGGAAUUCGAUCAAAAUGGAAGCCACUUAAGCAAUUCAAAAUGGACCGAAGCAUACGACUCUAAAGAAGGCCAAAUGAACCAAAUUGACAAUGAUAAAACUAAUAAACAAAUGGACACCAAACAUGAGCACAUAUAUGUGAAUAUAUGUAUACACUUGUGAUCAUAUUAUAUUACAGGGAAUAUAAAACCAACAAUAAACAGUAGCUUAACACAUGGAGGGGGCACAUGCUGUGUAAUUGGCAAAUAAAAUAUUUCCUGCCAUGGUCAAACAUACUAUGGCCAAACGAUUCUAUUUAACGAGAUCUCAGGAUGUUAAUACUAUGUCAAGAGCCAAAAUGCUAGAAACAGCUACAAACCAAUUUUAUUUUUAGGCAAAACACGACGGCAUGACCAUAUAUCGAAUGACUAAAGGUGGGACCAAAUCAAUAUUCCACCAAGGAAACCGACACAACCUAAACAAAGAGCAUAACUAAAUAGACAUACUACGACAGAUGAACCGUAAGCAACGAAUCAAGAAUUAAAAUCCAAAACACCGUUUUGAUUACCAACUUCAUUCUUAUCAUAUAUCGUGCGAUUUUCAACUCAACACCUAGGCCAAAUGAAUUUUAAACAGUCUUAAUCUUAGCUCAAUUCAAAGUACGAGACAGAAUAAAAAGAAGACGUCACAUUUUUAUAAGCUAUACCGCAAAUAAGGAGCAAUCCGACUAAUGUUUCGACAAAGGAGAUGACAAAUCAAUUCUAAACCCGACAUGUUGAACAAUAAGACGAACACGAGAUUAAAUAAAAAUAGAGAAAAGGUCAGUCAUUUGCACUCCAACAGAGCAGUAGACAAUACAACAUACGGUUUCAUAUCAUCUAAAUUUUCUAAGAUCCUGCCUUUAUUUCGAAAAGGAAAGAGAUAAUAUUAUAACAACAGAGUGGAAGAAACCUAAUAUUUGGGCAAUGGAAGACAAGAAGACAUAGAUUCAAACAUUAAAACAAAACAAAGAGAAGCAGACAGUGAAAUAAACUCAAAACAAAGAAACACCACCUACGAAAUGACAAAAGAAGAUUUUGAAUCAAUGCUUAAGAGUAAAUACCAGAAUCAUUUAGAGAAUAAUAUAGCAUAUCAAAUCGUCUAGGGCUUAAUUACAAGUAAUAGCAAACAACAUAUAGCCAGUAGCAUCACACUGGAAAUAAAAUAAACGAGGAAGGUAUCACGAAGGAGAGAGUUUUACCUUAUUCCGUGCAGCAAACAGGGAUGAAAACGAGCAAGGAACACCACGACUUCACCACACGCGUUCUGACUCAAGAAAUAAUCGAGAAAUCUGAACUGAAUGCUAGACCCGAGCACUAGAACUGGCCGUCUUUCUCUGUUUUCUUAAAAAAGAUUUAGCCCCCAUUUUACUGAAGUUAUUCUCCAUUUUUUGCAUUAAAAAAAUCCCCAUUUCGGCAGCAAAGACAACAGAAUAUAUAUAGAAGAAGAACUAGGGCAGAUUUUUGGGGGAAGAGGGACGAAAAUUCGGGUUCAAGACCCAAUAAUUCAAACUUCAAAUUCCUUUCACCACUUAAGGCAAACAUACUUUUUCUUGCAAUUUCGCCCAAUUCCGAAAGAGAAAAGGGCGAAUCGACUCUAAUGUCCUUGAAAUGCCACGUGGAGCGAUCUCACGUUGGCAAGGACGAAAACGCGUGCUUGAUGGAUGGAAGCCUGGAACAGUACUGGGUUAUUUCGCGUAGAGAAAGGAGAAGAGAAAGACGCGGGGUCGUUGGGGUUGUAUGUUGCACGUAUGGUAUGUAUUGUUGGUGUACAGCUGGUGGGUCUUUUUUUUUUUGAAUUGCUGCUAUACGUAAUGUUGGUAUUGUUAUUGUAUUGAAUUGGAAAUAUAAGUUGGCCAGGGGUAAUUGGUUUUGUUGUAUGUGCGUAAUGUUGGGUUAUGUAUUGCAUGGUAUUGUGGGAAAAGAAAGUGAGUUGGGCUUGUUUUAUUUGCAAAUCGAUGGGCUGGGAAUUGUAAGUAAGAGUUGGGUGGGUUGGGAAUGGAAUUGGGCCGAAAAUUAUUGAGAGAAUAGCCCAAAACUUGGUCUCAAAUGGGUUUAAGGUGGGUAAGGAAAUAUAAUUAGAACCAAUUGAAGUUAAAAACUUAGCCGAUUUGAAUUUAAUUGAUGAAUUCGGCCAAAAUUUAAAUAAGAUGAAUUAGUACAAAUUAAUUAAUGAGCUUCUUAAUUUUAACAAAAUAAAACAAUCAACUUAAUUAUAAACUAAAUUAUUUAAAAAUAUAAACUACUAAACUAAUUAACCAAAUAUUUGAGUACAACUAAAAUCUUUUUGAGGCGAAUUUUGAAUAUUCAAAAAAAAAAUGUACUAGUUAUAUGAAACACAUAUAUCAUUCAAAAAUUAUAAAAAAAAUGACAACUAUUUAAAAUAACUUGCAAACUAUUUUUGAAAUUUUAUAAAACUAAUUAUUUUAAAUCCUUUAAAAAUUUAAAAAGCUCGAUGAUUAAUCUAUAUUGUGGAGGUCCAAAAUUGGGUGUCAACAACUGUCCCUCAUUUGACUUGGAUUGAUGAAAGAAAUCCGAGGCAAAUGAAUUGACAAAUCCAAUUUUGACCGACCACAUCUUCAUCUUUCAGAAAAGAGCUUUUGGUACGGAUUUUAAGAAUUAUGGUCGAACCCCGGAAAUGGGUUUCUUACAUGUCUUAGGCUAUAUGAGAAUUCAGGCCACUUGUAGUUCGAUACGCUUAAUUUGACGCACGACUUUGAAAGAAUUCAAAAGUCAUCCCGAUACCGAAUUAUGAAGGGACCAGAAUGCUCGAGAAUAAGAUUUAAGAGUGAAUGUUGGAAUGCAACCGAGUUUCAACAUUGAUUCUGCCUACAUGUCCGUCAACUCAAGGAAUCAGGCUGCUUGUAGUUCGACUCAAUCAGUUGAAAAGGGAAUCUAUUAUGCUAGAUCACCUUUGGUUCUGGAAAAGCGACAAAGUAAGUUGAGUAUGAAAAUGAGGCUUGUAACCUCUUAGCCAUGAAUGUGGCGCGCUUCACAUCCAUAACCAAGUGUGGUAUCUCAAGUUUUGAAGUUAGGUAAGUGACAAAAUAAAAGUUGGCAACAGUUACUGUAAAUUCCUUUUUAAAGAUUUGUCUGAAAUUUGAGUCAAAUGUCUCGGACGUUUUCUCCCAAUCUAUUAAGAGUUAUGGUCCCCGCGAUCUAUAAAAUCGAAGGUCUACGAGUCUAGUUUUCAAUGCAUCAAAACAUUCGUUCAUACGACUUCAGAAUAGAGAGAUAUUAGCAUUUUCAUGGGACUGCGUAAGCAGGCACGUGAGGUGGGGCCCUAAGUCGGUGGAAUGUUACAUAUAUCUUCUCAUUCGACCUUUUUCUCCAUUAUAAGCUAAAAAACUAGAGAAAUUAGAAAAACCCAUUUCUAGGAUCAAGUGAAAUAUAGAUUUUCUCGNNNNNNNNNNNNNNNNNNNNNNNNNNNNNNNNNNNNNNNNNNNNNNNNNNNNNNNNNNNNNNNNNNNNNNNNNNNNNNNNNNNNNNNNNNNNNNNNNNNNNNNNNNNNNNNNNNNNNNNNNNNNNNNNNNNNNNNNNNNNNNNNNNNNNNNNNNNNNNNNNNNNNNNNNNNNNNNNNNNNNNNNNNNNNNNNNNNNNNNNNNNNNNNNNNNNNNNNNNNNNNNNNNNNNNNNNNNNNNNNNNNNNNNNNNNNNNNNNNNNNNNNNNNNNNNNNAUUUAGCAAAAAAGGUAUGUUAAGGCUAUUCCCUACUCACAACAUGUUCCCUUAAAGCUUAGAAGCAAUGUAUUUGGGUUGUUAUCCUUGAUAUACUUGUAGCUGUGAUUGUUGAUUGUUGGCUGCUCGAGUUGAUAUAAUCCUCCCUUGUCGAGAUUCUUAUUCAGUUAGUAGCGUCCCUAUGUUGGACACGACUUAGAGGUUAUUUGUAUAGGUUACUUAUAACUAAAUUUCUCGCUUUUAGCGGUUGGAUUGUUAUUAUUGUCGUUGGGGUUAUUGUGGUUAGCUGCAGGAAUGUGAUAUAUGCCUAGAAGGGCUAUGUUCUGCCUACAGGGCUAUAUGGAUGCCUAACAGGGCUAUGAGUUGCCUACGGGGCUAUAUUGUGCCUAGAAGGGCUAUGAGUUGCCUACAGGGCUAUAUUGACGCCUAAGAAGGCUAUGUGCUUUCUACAGGGCCAUGUUAUUGACUAAGAGGGCUAUGAGUUAUCUAAAAGCUACGUUGACGCCUAAGAGAGCUAUGUGCUAUCUACGGGGCUAUAUUAAUGCCUAAGAGGGCUAUGUGACUGCCUACGGGGCUAGGGGACUACUGAUAGGGGUAUAUAGGCUGAUUGGCACCUUCCGGGCUUAUGGGGGCCUGAGUAGAUGGUCUUGUGUGCUGUUUGUACCUGCCGAGCUUAUGGGGGCAUGGUUAGGUUGUUGUUUUAUUAUUUUUGAUAAGUUUAGAUUUAGGAGCAGGUCAGUACACAUAUCUUAUUCUUGAUUUAUUUAUUGGAUUAUUCCAGUAUAUCAUGAUACCUCAUCAUAGUCUAUUGCCUUUCAUACUCUGUACAUUACUUUGUACUGACGCCCCAUGGCCUUGGGGGUGCUGCAUUCAUGCAUGCAAGUCCUGAUAGACGACUAAGUAGACCUCCUCAGCAGUAGGAUUGACUUUUAUCCAGUUGGCUANNNNNNNNNNNNNNNNNNNNNNNNNNNNNNNNNNNNNNNNNNNNNNNNNNNNNNNNNNNNNNNNNNNNNNNNNNNNNNNNNNNNNNNNNNNNNNNNNNNNNNNNNNNNNNNNNNNNNNNNNNNNNNNNNNNNNNNNNNNNNNNNNNNNNNNNNNNNNNNNNNNNNNNNNNNNNNNNNNNNNNNNNNNNNNNNNNNNNNNNNNNNNNNNNNNNNNNNNNNNNNNNNNNNNNNNNNNNNNNNNNNNNNNNNNNNNNNNNNNNNNNNNNNNNNNNNNNNNNNNNNNNNNNNNNNNNNNNNNNNNNNNNNNNNNNNNNNNNNNNNNNNNNNNNNNNNNNNNNNNNNNNNNNNNNNNNNNNNNNNNNNNNNNNNNNNNNNNNNNNNNNNNNNNNNNNNNNNNNNNNNNNNNNNNNNNNNNNNNNNNNNNNNNNNNNNNNNNNNNNNNNNNNNNNNNNNNNNNNNNNNNNNNNNNNNNNNNNNNNNNNNNNNNNNNNNNNNNNNNNNNNNNNNNNNNNNNNNNNNNNNNNNNNNNNNNNNNNNNNNNNNNNNNNNNNNNNNNNNNNNNNNNNNNNNNNNNNNNNNNNNNNNNNNNNNNNNNNNNNNNNNNNNNNNNNNNNNNNNNNNNNNNNNNNNNNNNNNNNNNNNNNNNNNNNNNNCUGACACUAGACAGACCACAACUAGCCAAGGGCUAGAUACAACUGCAAGCGAGGGUACCAGUAAAGUACCACAGGUGCAGGUGGCCCAUUGUGAGACCCAGGGGGAGACAUCUUCUUAGCCCCCUAUAGCUUCUCCACAGCUUCAAGAGCCUCCGAGGGCUACAGGACUUCCGGCUCCACCAGCAGUACCACCUCUAGUAACUGUUCCUGAUCAGAUGGAAUAGGAGGAACUAGAGGUGGUACUGCCGAUCUAAUAAAGUAACUGGAGUUUUCUCGUAGGACAACUCCUCUGUGAUUUGAACAUCCUCAACUGGGACAACCCAAGAAGGGUCUCCUACACACUUUCGUAGCAUCGAUACAUGGAAAACUGGAUGAACAGAUUUUAGCCCGAAGGCAAUUCUAACUCAUAAGCCACUCGUCCUAACCCUUCGAAGGAUCCAGUAUGGCCCAAUAAAUCUUGUACUAAGCUUUCCCUUUUUGCCAAAUCGCAUAACACCUUUCAUAAGCGAGAUUUUUAAGAAUACCCAAUCAUCGAUGCAAAACUCUAAGUCUUUUCGUCGCACAUCUGAGUAUGACUUCUGUCGGCUUUGAGCUGUUAGCAGCCUCUCCCGAAUGAGCUUAACUUUAUCCACUGUCUGCUGAACUAAGUCGGGUCCAAUCAACCCUGACUCACCUACCUCGAACCAUCCAAUGGGGGAUCUAUAUUUUCUCCCAUACAAAGCCUCAUAAGGUGUCAUCCCGAUGCUGGAAUGAUAACUAUUAUUCUAUGCGAACUCUAUAAUAGGUAAGUGGUCAUCCCAACUCCCCUUGAAGUCUAGCGCGCACGCCCGUAACAUAUCUUCGAGUGUCAAAAUUGUGCGCUCAGCCUGGCCAUCUGUCUGAGGGUGAAAGGCAGUACUAAGAUUAACCUGUGUCCCCAGUUCUUUCUAGAAGGACUUCCAGAAGUUGGCUGUAAAUUGUUCUCCUCUAUCAGAGAUAAUAGAUAUUGGGACACCGUGUAGCCUAACAAUCUCUCUAAUAUAGAGACCUGCAUAGUCUUCGGCCGAGAAAGUAACCCUGACUGGUAAAAAGUGGGCUGAUUUUGUUAGUCUAUCAACAAUUACCCAAAUAGAGUCAAACUUGUGACGCGAUUGAGGUAACCCUAUAAUAAAAUCCAUAUUAAUUGCUUCCCACUUCCACAAAGGAAUGGCUAUCUCCUGAACUAGCCCAGUGGGUUUUUGGUGCUCAACCUUCACCUGUUGGCAGUUAGGACACUGUGCCACAAAUUCAGCAACGUCCUUCUUCAUCCCGUGCCACCAAUAGAUCUCAUUAAUAUCAUGGUACAUCUUCGUCGAACCAGGGUGAAUAGAAUAACGGGAAUGAUGUGCCUCUUCCAUAAUUUGAUGUCGAAGCCCUGCAACAUUUGGAACACACAAUCGAAUGUUAUAUCUGAGGACUCCAUCUUCUGCUAUAUCAAAUGCUAAAGACUGUGGAUCCUGAGCCUUGUCUCUAAGCUUCUCUAAGCUAAGAUCCUCUUGUUGCUGUGAUUUUACUUCUACAACUAGAGAUGAUACAGCUGUAUCCUGAAUUGUGAACCCACUAUCGUCUGCCUCUAACAAUCUGACUCCUAAGCUAGCUAACUGAUGAAGCUCUCGCGCUAGCUCCCGCUUCUCAACACCUAAGUGGGAUAAACUACCCAUAGAUUUUCGAUUGAUGGCAUCGGCUACCACAUUCGCCUUUCCUAAAUGAUAUAAAAUAUUCAUGUCGUAGUCUUUCAGUAACUCAAGCCAUCGACGCUGUCGCAAAUUUAACUCCUUCUGUCUAAAUAUAUAUUGAAGGCUCUUAUGCUCUGUGAAGAUGUCAACAUGAACUCCAUACAAAUAGUGUCUCCAGAUUUUUAACGCAUGCACAACUGCAGCCAACUCUAAAUCGUGGGUCAGAUAGUUCUUCUCAUGCUUCCUCAACUUCCUUGAAGCAUAUGCGAUAACCUUACCAUGUUGCAUUAGAACACAUCCCAAACCCAACACCAGAAGCAUCACAAUACACCACAUGGCCUUCUGAACCGUCUGGUAAUGCAAGAACUGGUGCUGAUGUCAACCUCCUGGAAACUGUGCUCGCAAUCCUCAGUCCACUGGAACUUAGCUGCUUUUUGAGUCAGCUUUGUUAAUGGGCCUGAAAUUGAAGAAAAUCCCUCUACAAACCUUCUGUAGUACCCAGCUAACCCUAAGAAACUACGAACCUCAGUCGGAGUCAUGGGUCUGGGCCAAGUCUUUACGGCCUCAAUCUUUUGUGUAUCAACCGCAAUGCCUGCAUCUGAUACAAUAUAGGCCUAAGAAGACUACAGAGUCUAAUCAGAACUUAUACUUAGAAAACUUUGCAUAAAGUUCUCGGUCUCAAAGAACCUGAAAGACUGCUCGCAUAUGAUUUGCAUGCUCAACUUUUGAAUGUGAAUACACCAAAAUAUCAUCAAUAAAUACAAUCACAAACAAGUCUAAAUACGGCCUGAAUAUACUAUUCAUCAGGUCCAUGAACACUGCUGGGCAUUAGUUAAUCUAAAAGACAUUACCAAGAACUCAAAGUGUCCAUAUCUAGUUCUAAAAGCUGUCUUUGGAACGUCAUUCUCCCGAACUCGUAUCUGGUGGUACCCUAAUCUUAAAUCAAUCUUUGAGAAGCACUUAGCACUUUGUAANNNNNNNNNNNNNNNNNNNNNNNNNNNNNNNNNNNNNNNNNNNNNNNNNNNNNNNNNNNNNNNNNNNNNNNNNNNNNNNNNNNNNNNNNNNNNNNNNNNNNNNNNNNNNNNNNNNNNNNNNNNNNNNNNNNNNNNNNNNNNNNNNNNNNNNNNNNNNNNNNNNNNNNNNNNNNNNNNNNNNNNNNNNNNNNNNNNNNNNNNNNNNNNNNNNNNNNNNNNNNNNNNNNNNNNNNNNNNNNNNNNNNNNNNNNNNNNNNNNNNNNNNNNNNNNNNNNNNNNNNNNNNNNNNNNNNNNNNNNNNNNNNNNNNNNNNNNNNNNNNNNNNNNNNNNNNNNNNNNNNNNNNNNNNNNNNNNNNNNNNNNNNNNNNNNNNNNNNNNNNNNNNNNNNNNNNNNNNNNNNNNNNNNNNNNNNNNNNNNNNNNNNNNNNNNNNNNNNNNNNNNNNNNNNNNNNNNNNNNNNNNNNNNNNNNNNNNNNNNNNNNNNNNNNNNNNNNNNNNNNNNNNNNNNNNNNNNNNNNNNNNNNNNNNNNNNNNNNNNNNNNNNNNNNNNNNNNNNNNNNNNNNNNNNNNNNNNNNNNNNNNNNNNNNNNNNNNNNNNNNNNNNNNNNNNNNNNNNNNNNNNNNNNNNNNNNNNNNNNNNNNNNNNNNNNNNNNNNNNNNNNNNNNNNNNNNNNNNNNNNNNNNNNNNNNNNNNNNNNNNNNNNNNNNNNNNNNNNNNNNNNNNNNNNNNNNNNNNNNNNNNNNNNNNNNNNNNNNNNNNNNNNNNNNNNNNNNNNNNNNNNNNNNNNNNNNNNNNNNNNNNNNNNNNNNNNNNNNNNNNNNNNNNNNNNNNNNNNNNNNNNNNNNNNNNNNNNNNNNNNNNNNNNNNNNNNNNNNNNNNNNNNNNNNNNNNNNNNNNNNNNNNNNNNNNNNNNNNNNNNNUGCUGAAGUCUGGGGUCCACACCCUGUAGACUGUGCUGAUGAGGAGGAAUUUACUGCUGACCUGGUCGACUGACAUGUACCACCCUGACCUAUGGUAGGGCAGAUUCUGCACCCAUACCCCUCCUGUCCACAAGAAUAACAACUUGUGGAACCCUGUCUGCACCUCCCGAAAUGCAUCCUACCGCAAGUAAUGCAACGCGGCGGGGAUGUCCUAGCCUGGCCUGAACCCCUCUGCUGCUGCAAGCCUGAUGCUCGUGAACCCUCACCUGAGCCUGACUGUUCCUGAUGAUCAAAUCUACUACCCUGGAACUACUGUGGUGGAGGUCUAGGUGGCCUAAUAAAAUAUCGGGGUCUGGGACCACCCCUAAAAAAUCUCCCUGCGAACCAGUGGGCCUAGCCCUCUUCUGUCUCUCUCUCGACCCUCUCACUUGUCGUAUACUGUAGAUGUCGGCGAUCCUCUAUGCCUUGUGCGAAGGCCUGAAUCCGCGAGAUAUCCAUAUUAUCAUUUAGCGCAACGGUAGAACAAGCCUCAAUAUAGUCUGAGUUAAGCCCUCCCACAAAUCUACGUACCCUGUCAUGCAUCGUAUCAACAAAUGUUGGUGCAUAUCUAACCAAUGAAUCAAAUCUCAUCCCGUACUCUCGGACACUAAUGUCAUAUUGUCGGAGUUUCAGAAACUGGUCCACCCGGCCAUCCCUAAUCUCUCGAAGCAAAUAGUGAUCUAUGAAAGCUUCUGUAAAGCUACCCUAAGUGGGUAGAGAUGUAUCUUCUCCCAUAGAUCUCUCCCAACUUUCAUACCACAAUACUGCAACAUCACGCAAUCGAAAUGCUGCUAACUCAACUGACUUAGUCGCCGAGGCAUGCAUGACUCUGAAGAUCCUAUGAAGCUGAUCAACAAAGUGCUAAAGGUCUUCUCUGCGAUCUGUUGCUGUAAACUGUGGAGGAUUCAAGGCAAGAAAUUCACGAACUCUCGAACUUCCGAGACCUUCAGAAGGUCCGGCAAUAUCUGGCGCAACUGGUUGGCACUGUGCAGCUACUAACUGUGCUAACAUAUAUACUGCACUCUUGAAAUCCUAAUCAGAUGAAAUAGGAGGAACUAGAUGUGGUACUGCUGGUGGAGCCGGAAGUCAUGUAGCCCUCGGAGGCUCCUGAAGCUGUGGAGAAGCUAUAGGGAGCUGAGAAGAUGUCCCCCCCUGGGUCUCACAAUGGGCCACCUCCACCUGUGGUACUUUGUCGGUACCCUCGCUUGCAGUUGUUACUAGCCCCUAGCUAGUUGUGGUCUGUCUAGUGUCAGUCAUCUCUAUCUGCAUACAAGUAUCAAUUACAAGCCAGAAACCUCAACCCUUAAGACACCGCUCUAUAGCACGAGGUGAGCAAAAGAAGGAUAGUCAUUCUAACAUGCCCGGUAGCUUCUUGCUUAUCGAAUGUGGUGCACAACACAUUUAUAAACAAGACUCUACUAGACAUGGCUUGCAGACUCCCUAGGAUACGACGUUGCUCUGAUACCAAGUUUGCCACGCCCCAAACUCAAGGGGCGCAACUNNNNNNNNNNNNNNNNNNNNNNNNNNNNNNNNAAAGAACCAGCUACUCCCAAGAGUUCAUAUAAAGAAACAUCCAACUAGCACAGAAGUCUUGAUUGGGCCGUUGAGGCCACCAUGAUAUCUAUACCAAAAUUAAAAGCAAGUAUAUAUCAAUACAAUACAUCAAACAGCUCACAAGCUUCCGCAAACCAACAACGUAAGCAAGCAUGGCCAUAACGUAGCUAUAAACCCCACACACUAGUCUGCAAGCCUCUAAGAGUAGUAAAGAUUGGUGGGACAGGGCCCCAGCCUACCCAUAAAGAUAUAUACAACAAAAGUUAACAAACCUCCCAACUCUGGCAGCUCCGUAGGCAACUCAUAGCCCUGUUAGGCAUCCAUAUAGCCCUGUAGGCAGAACAUAGCCCUUCUAGGCAUAUAUCACAUUCCUGCAGCUAACCAAAAUAGCCCCAACGACAAUAAUAACAAUCCAACCGCUAAAAGCGAGCAAUUUAGUUAUAAGUAACCUAUACAUAUAGCCUCUAAGUCGUGUCCAACAUAGGGACGCUACUAACUGAAUAAGAAUCUUGACAAUGGAGGAUUAUAUCAACUCGAGCAGCCAACAAUCAACAAUCACGGCUACAAGUAUAUCAAGGAUAACAACCCAAAUACAUUGCUUCUAAGCUUUUAGGAAACAUGCUGUAAGUAGGGAAUAGCCUUAACCUACCUUUUUCGCUAAAUUCACGUGGCCUAACGACUUUUACUCAAUACUCCCUCGAUACUACAACAAGGUAGGACCAUAAUCAACACACAAAAAUAAAAGAUACCAUGACAAUACGAUAAAAUAUAUGUAUUUCCGUUGCAAAUUGCUAUUUGCUGCUUAUAAAAGCUAGAGUCGAUAAAGAAGGGUCUUACCUCGAUCUUAAGGUCGUAAUACGCUUCAAAACCUUCAAAUAUAUCCAAACCCUUGUUGUCUCAACACUAAAGUGUGAUAUGCUACGCAAUCGAUAAAACAAAUUAUACCACGAUGAUGAGCCCAAUGCGUAGAACAACUUUCGUCAAGGACUUAACUCGAGAAAAUCUAUAUUUCACUUGAUCCUUAGAAAUGGGUUUCUCUAAUUUCUCUGGUUUUUUAGCUUAUAAUGGAGAAAAAGGUCGAAGGAGAAGAUAUAUGUAACAUUCCACCGACUUAGGGCCCCACCUCACGUGCCUGCUUGCGCAGUCCCACGAAAAUGCUAAUACCUCUCUAUUCUGAAGUCGUAUGAACGAACGUUUUGAUGCAUUGAAAACUAGACUCGUAGACCUUCGAUUUCAUAGAUCGCGGGGACCAUAACUCUUAAUAGAUUAGGAGACAACGUCCGAGACAUUUGUCUCAAAUUUCAGACAAAUCUUUAAAAAGGAAUUUACGGUAACUUUCGCCAACUUUUAUUUUGUCACUUACCUAACUUCAAAACUUGAGAUACCACACUUGAACACUUAAAAUAUCACAUAACACAUCAUUUUUAAUUUAUUGCUCACCUUCCUUUUCUUUCCACGAAGAUACGAGUUAAUUUAGACGUUUUUCAAAGUCGGGGUGUUACAUCAUUAACCAUAGACAAUAAUAAAAGAAACAAUUCAUUCAAAACGUGAAAAAAAAGUGACAACAAUCCAUUUGAAACGAAAAUAGUUAGAAUGACUGACAUUAUAGAACUUUCAAUCAUUGAAUUUACUAUGAAUAAAAGCUUCAAAAUUCAUUAUUUUGGCCUAGAAGAAAGAGAAAGUGUAUAAUUUCAAUCUUAUAAAGAAUUGUCAUAGACACACUCAUAUACAUAAAACCAAUUCGAUAAAUAUUCUCACCUUGGGGAUUUUUGCUUUGAUAAGUAAAUUAUAAAUAAAUUUUGAUGAAAAUACAUAUAAGAUCUUUAAAAUUAUUUAUAAAAAUAAUAUAUUAUGCAUGUAUGUUAAUUAAAUAUAUGUAUAUAAUUUGUCGAUUCGGUUCAGUUAUUUUUUCUUCGAUUUUUUUCGAACAAAACCAUAACCAACCCAUAUACUAUCGGUUCUUAAAAAUCUAAAACCAAACCACACCUAACCCAAAUAAAAAUCGGUUUGGUUCAGUUUUUCGAUUUGGAUCAGUUUUUAUCCGAACCGUGAACACCCCUACUCAUGCAUAUAUAAAAAGUAAUAUAUUCCUUCGAAAAGGUAUCUCAAGAAUUUCAUAAGUUCAUGAAUUUGUUUAUUAUUAUUUUUACAUUAAAAUUUGUUGCAAGCUAUUUGGCACGCGGAUCAAAUUUUCCCUUCAUCUCUUAUCUCUUAUCUCACAAAUCAGAUUCAUAAAUUCGAAGCCCCAAAUUUGCAAAGAUGAAGCUUCAUUUUUAUGAGUGCUUCAAGUCUUGUCUUUGAGUUUAUCAAGUCUUACACUCCAAUAAGCCUUAAAGUAGGGGCAUUUGUAGAUAUCGAAACUUUGUAGGACUUUACAAGACGAGUUCAAUUUCAGUUAGGUUUUAAAAAUCUAUUUUACUCUAAACCCUAACUCUUGUCUAUAUAAAGGGUAAUAUGUGAAAUAUUCAUAAUGAUCGUGAUGUGGCCGACCCUAUAAAGGGAAGAAUAAUAUUGUACCACUUUUUUUUUAAUAUUUUAUUAGUGAUUAUAAUUUAUUUCUUAUCACAUUAAAAUUUUAUUGCAAACAACUAUUUAAAAAUUAAAAUCUAUGUUUAGCCAUAAAUACAAAUUAAAGUUAGUUUUAAAAAAAUUUCAAAUGAUUUUAGGCGCAAAUAACUUUUUUAAUAUUUUCCAAAUUCAAGUAAAAUAUCAAAAUUUUAUGAUUAAAUAUAAUUUUUUUGAAAAUUCAACUCUAAAAAGAAAGUAAAAAAAAUAAAAUAUUCUUCAUCAAACGUCAAUUAUUCACUCAAGUUAAGUCUCUAUCAUGGGGUGGGUGGGGGGGGACCCCCUUAGAGUGUUUAAAUUAUUGACAAUUCUCAUCGUUGUGUUGCCAAUUUUAUAACCAAAAAGUGUAGCUGGUUGGAAAUGGUGCUUUCAAUGUCAAAUCAAGAUGACACGUGGAUAGCUACAGUUUUAAUCAAAUGCAAGAACGUGAUGUAAGAUAAUGCUAGCAUAAUUAAUAACUAAAUCACUUAAUUGGUAUUAGAUAUGCUUAUAAUUUUAGUUGAUUGAAGGCAUGAUCCUAAAUAAAAAAAUAUGAAGAUUGAGGAUUAGAUUAAAAGAAUAGUGUAGAUAGUCGAGUAUGUUGUUGUACUAUAAUUUACUACGUGUAGUAAUUUCUUUUCCUCCAUUGUAUUAAUAUCUGAUGUUGCAGGUGUUUUGUCCAUUAUUAUUUUGUUUUUUAAAUUUUUUUAAUGUUUUACUUUCUUGCUAUUUUAGUCAACGGUCUAUCAAAAACAAAUUUUCUAUCUCCCGCAAAAGUAAAGAUAAGAUUUAGAUACAUUCUAUUAUUUCAAUAUCCCAUUAGUGGAAUAUAUUAUUGUUGUUAACCACUUAAUUGAUCUCAAUAUAUAUAGAAAAAAGUUUUAAUAUCAUUAAAAAGUUUAUUCAAAGGGUCCAUAAAAAAUGAUGAUUCACCAGUUUUAUUCCUUCACCACUGUUUUCAUCGCUCACCAUUAUCAACUACCAUCGUUGUCAUUCACUAUUAACCAUCAUUUAUAAUUAUUACCAUAACAACUCCUGACUGCUAAUGAUAAAUAUCAUUGAUCUUGGGCAUAUUUAUAUGUCCAAUUACUACGAAUUACCCCUCUUUAACAUUCACUAUUCUAAUUGACAUGUUUUGAUGUAGGAUUGCAAUGAUUGCAUACUAAUAUAGAUGAUUAGCUAUUUUGCAGGGUUCCUAAGAGAAGUGUUGUGUAAUGAGAGCAAAGGAAACAAGGACGACAAAGCGACGCACAAGGAGCAGUCGAGCGCACUGCCCCAGCCAACCUAGCGCGAUGGUGGCGCAGGGCGCCAUCCCUAAAAGUACUGAGACCUCUUUUUGACGCACUGGUGGUGUAGGACGCUAGCCUUGUGUCACUACCAGAUGCAUUCUAGGCGCGAAUCUGACGCGAUGCCCCAACCUCUGACCGACUUGUUAAACGAAAUUUGGUUUUCUUAGGAUUCCUACUUGGGCUAGAAUUGGAAAUAUUUUUUCUAAACUCUAUAAAUAGGACCCUAGGGUUAUUUUGUAAAGGUUCGACUUCUUUUUGGUGUGCAUGAGCAAGGAUUAACACAUUGUCAUAGUUUCGAUUCUUUAGCUUUUCGUUAAUUUUGAAUUGCAUAAACAAUAUUAUAUUUGAGUUUUUGAAUAUUAUGAGUGGCUAAAAGCCCUUGUUUUGGGGUCGUAGGUAUGGGUAAUUGUUAAGCAUCAAUGGUUUUGAGUUAAUUCUUGAAUAUCAUUUAAAGUUACUUUUGUGUUCUUGUUUUAGUAUUUCUCAACUGACCAUCAUAGAUAUAAACCUCUUGUCUAUUCUUGAACUUGGGAGACGAUAAGGUAGAUAGAUCAAAGAAUAUAAAAAAGCCUAAUCUUUCUUGCAUAUCACUUGAUUAGAUUCAUGCUUAGGAUUGACAACCGGACGAACACCAAGCUUGGUUACAAAACAAGAUGAAAUUUAAAUGCUCGCCAAUUAGGACUGUCUAUCCCUGCUCAACGAUGUAGUUAUACAGCUAAUUGGAGUAGGCGAUUAGAGGUCGGGAGACCAUGAUCAUAAAAUCAACCCUGUAAAUCAGUAAUUUGGUAACCUUAAUUAGUUCAUUACUUAAGAUGCAAUACAUGAAACCUGAUGUAUGUUGCAGACCUGAAAUUGUCUCUUAGUUAUCAAAUUGAAGUCGUUAUCGUUGUUACUUUAUUUAUUAAAUUGUUCUUCGUAGUAGUAAACAAAAAUCACACUUCUUUAAAGAUACUUCUGUUAAAUUGUAAAGUUAAAUUGGUUAAUAUAAAUUGAUCGUAAGUCCCUUGGGUACGAUAACUCAUUUCUAAAAGGAACUAUACUACUUGUGCAACCACGUACACUUGCGUGUGCAUUUGAGCACAAUAAGUUUUUGGUGCCGCUGUCGGGUACUUUAGAAUUAAUUUAUAUUUAAUUUUCUUAAGUCUACUAUUUGAUUGUUCAAGUGUCAAUAACUUGAUUUUAGCUAUUUUGUAUUCCAGGCACUUGGUUCUAAAGUUUGGCUUGAAAAGAAGACCUUGUUAAACCAGACGAUGAACCUGACAGAGCUCUUCGACUACGAAGAAAGCUGGCGAAUCAAGUGCGACAACAGGAAUUAGGACUGGAUCUCCAAAAAAAUACUGAAGGUAACCACGAGAAUAACAUGAAUAACGAAGAACAUGAGGUACCCAUGGUAGUACCGGCGAGACCAGUCUGUGAUGUGGCAAUCCCCCUCACCACCAAUGUGGCAUCAAGUAUACAGAAACCACCAUCAGGUGGUAGAUUUGAGCUGAAACAGAACAUGACACACCUCAUUCACUCAAUGGAGCAGUUCACCAGCCUUCCUCACGAGGAUCCAUAAGUGUAUAUAAUGAACUUUCUGGAAAUAAGCGACAGGUACAUUACGAAUGGGGUAUCAUCUGAUUACAUGAGAUUGACUCUUUUUCCACUUUCAUCAUUGGCAGAAGCAAAGGCAUGGUUAGAUGCGGAGCCACCAAAUUCAAUUACUCACUACAUGAGAUUAUUUAGCAAAAAGGUUUUUGGGUCGAUUUUUCCCAUCAGGCAAAACUGCAAGGUUGAGGAGUGAGAUCUUAAACUUCAAGCAGAGAAACAAAGAAGAUAUGUACCAAGCAUGAGCUCGAUUUAAGCAAAUGUUAAAUGCUUGUCCACAUAAUUAUCAAGCGAAUGAGGUACUAGCUCACACUUUCUUUUGAGGGUCUUGAAUAUAAUGCACUAUUACUUCUCAACAGUGCAGCAGGUGGACAAGCUUUGGCAAAGACCUAUGAUGAACUGUUCGACCUACUAAACAGACUCUCGGAGGGAAACCCAUAAUGGAAUGAAGAGGCACCAAGGACCAUGGUGCAAAGGGCUGCAAGAGUUUUAGAUGUAGAUCAAGUAACUACUAUAACUGCAAAGUUAGAUGCAAUGCAAUAUCAGAUGACCAUGCAGUUCAAGAAAAUCACACUAGCUCAACAACAAGCACCAAUGAAUAUUAUACAACAAAAUGUUGGUUAGUGCGGAGUUUGUCGUAGUGGGGAGCAUGCGACUGAAUGUUGUGAAGCGAAUCCAGACUCCGUGAACUAUGUGGGCAAAGCCCAAAGACGUGGAGGAACACAUAAUUAUGGAAAAAACAUACAACUAAAGCUGGAGAAAUCACCAUAACUUCUCAUGCCGGUGGAAAUCAAAACCAGAACUAAAUCAGGCACAAGGGACCAACCAACCGAGCACAAGGGAAUGGUCCUCAUUACCAAAAUUAUGGUCAAGGUAAUAAUCAAGGUGCACAAUAAGGGAGUAUGACUAAUGAAGAGUUGUUCCAAAAGUUGAUGGUAGAGAUCGGUAAGAACAAAGCAAAAACUGUUUCAUACCUAAACUAUAUAUGCACUCUCUCUUUUAUUUGAAAAAAACAUUGACACAUGACAUUCCAAAUGGAUAAAAUAUUCCACCUUGACAAAAAUUAAAUAAUAAACCUAUUAAUAUUAAUUAAAAUUUAAAGAUUACAGUAUUAUUAUAAUUUUUUUUAAAAUAAAAAUAAAUUAUUUUUCUUACCUCACUCCACCACCUCCUCUCCCCUCCCUCGACAAUCCCCAUCCUUUUAUUUUUUUUACAAUUUCUUUUAUAAAAUAUUUAAAAAAAUUCAUACUUCACCCUCUCGCACCCCAAAAAAAAAAAAAACCAUCCACUCAUCCCCCCCCCCUCCAAAAAAAUUGAUAUUAUUUUAUUUUUAAAAAUAAAAAUUCUGCCCCAUCCUAUUUAACCCUCCGUUCAUAAUUUAUAUUUACAUUUUUCUCGUUAUGUGUUAGAUAUGUGCAUAUAUUUUUAGGAAUUUUUUUCUACUUGUGUACUGAAUAUAACAUUAAUAAAAUGGUGCUUUCAAUGUCAAAUAAAAAAUUGACACGAGUUAAAUAAGCUAUUUCCUUGUGCUUGAAUCAUGAUAUUGAGUUGACAUGGGGGGCUACAAUUAUUAGGGUUCCGGAAUUUUCAUAACUAUUUUGUCAUAUUAUUUUUAUUAACUGAUUUUAAUAUUAGGUCUUUGCCUCAUUAUAUGAAGAAUACAUAAUCAAUAUUAAAACUAAAAACAUGAAAAGAAUAAUUAUCGUUGGUUGAUAUACAAGAAAUGACAAGUAAAAAUAAAAAUUUAUUUUCAAAAUAGUGAACUACUCCUAAAUCCUAAUAAAAAUGACACAUAAAGUAUCUUCAAAGCAAUUUUUAACACAAGAAUAAUCCAGCGUGUGUAACUAAAUUAAGUACUAUUUCAAUUAAGUGAUAUACAUUAAGAAUCAAAAUAAAAUACUAUUACUCAUAUAUUAAGAAGUAUUUUGGUCUAUUUUUUCUCCAAAUACAACUUGAAGUUGAAGGCUAGACAAUAUUAUAAUUUUUUAUAUGACAUGAUCUGCCACUCUGCCAGCCUUUUUACUACUAAAACAUACUUUAUAAUUGAUUUGCUUUAGAAAUUUGCGUCUUAUAUUGUUUGUUUAAAAAACAUUUAAAUAUACAUUUCUCAACAUGUUAUAAUUUUGGUUGUCUGCUGUUGUAUGAACCAGACGCACUUUAUUAUGAUGAAGAAUAAAUUUUUAAAUUCAAUUUGAAAAAUAAAAGUAAAAAAUAUUCAUGAUCCAAUUAAUAGCGUAUUGGUAGUUAGUUAUAGAUAUGCAUUAGUUUGAAUUUUGAAUUGAAAAGAUCUGGUAUACAGUUUGUCUCCUAUAGGACUCUUCUAGGUAUAGAAUUUGUGUCCUUGUAGGAGUUAACCACAUCAGUUGUUCCUGUACUUUGUAUCUAUAAAAAGAGCGUCUUGCUCUUUCAUUAAUAAUAAGAUUGAUACUCUGUUUUACCAAUUUAUCAUGGUAUCAGAGCAGCAGUAAACAAUAACAAAAUAAUAAUGACGGGGAACGAUAAUGAAGUAGCCAAUUCUCCAUACACGCUGCAACCAACUGAUAACCCUGGAGUGUCUCUGGUCACAUGUUUGCUCACACAAGAUAACUAUUCUACAUGGCGGAGGGCCAUGAGAAAUGCUUUGUUGGCUAAGUCAAAGUUAGGCUUUGUUGAUGGUAGUCUUCCGCGACCAACAACAAGCUCUACAAACGAAGCUGCCUGGAUUAAGGGAAAUUCCAUGGUAAUAUCUUGGAUUUUUAACUCUCUUCAUCCCUCACUUCACAGUAGUGUAGCUUUUUUUGAUACAGCAGGUGAACUUUGGAAAGAUUUAGAGGAGAGAUUUUCACAAGGGAAUGCUCCUCGAGUUCACCAGUUGAAGAUAGAGAUAGUGAAUACACAACAGCAGGAUCAAACAAUGAGUGUUUACUACACCAAAUUGAAGGGAUUAUGGGAUGAGUAUGGAUCGUAUUGUCAGUUACCAAACUGCAGUUGUGGUGCCAUUAAGGAAUAUGCAGCAGAAAGGGAAAAAAAGAAGGUUCAUCAGUUUCUUAUGGGAUUGAAUGAGAAAUUUAAUGUUGUUCGAUCUCAGAUUUUAAAUACUGAACCAUUACCAUCUCUAGCCCGUGUGUAUGGACUAGUUUCACAGGAAGAACGACAACAACAACUCACUACAAGCAAAGGAAAUAAUUUAUUGGAGGGGGCAUCAUUUGCUUCAAAGAGAAACACCAAUACUUUCAAUUCUCGUCAAUUGUCAGGUAACCGUGAUGUCUCUAAACUAUUUUGUGAUCACUGUAAACGAUGGAGACACACCAAGGACAAAUGUUUUGAACUACAUGGCUAUCCAGAUUGGUGGGAAAACAAUAGAAAAGGAAAAGGUAAGUCAGCUAAUUCCAGUCGAACAUCAGAAGUUGAACGUGUGGAUUACUCCCCAAUAAGUGGUUUAUCAAAAGAACAAUAUAACCAGCUUAUGUCUCUUUUAAGCCUUGAAAACUCCAAGGGUAUCGAUUCAAUGGCUAAUUUUGCUGGUAAGGCUGUUACUUUUCCUGCCGCUAAUUAUGAAUGGAUAUUAGAUUCGGGAGCGUCUGAUCAUAUGACUUGUCAGAAGAAUUCUCUGUCUAAUGAAAGAAAGCUUCUCUUUGAUUCUAAUAUAACUAUUCCUGAUGGUUCAUCUGUUACUGCUAAUACUUGUGGAAAUGUGACUCUUAAUUCUUCAAUAACCUUAAAUCAUGUUUUACAUGUUUAGAUGUUUGGCUGCAAUCUUAUUUCUAUCAGUAAGUUGACACAAUCAUUAAAUUGUGUUGCUCAUUUUUUCCCUUCCUUUUGUGUUCUGCAGGACUUAGCCACGAGGAAGCUGAUUGGCAUGGGUAAACUGAAGAAUAGCUUUUAUUAUUUCCAAAGUCAAGCACUAGUUUCAGCUCUUUUGUCAAAUAAAGACCAAACUAUUUUGUGGCAUCAACGUCUUGGUCAUGUAUCUUUUAGUCGUUUGUCUUUCAUUUCAGAACUUCAGUUUUUUAAUUUUAAUAAGUUAGAUGAUUAUUGUGAUGCUUGCCACCGAGCUAAGCAAAUUCGGAAGUCAUUUCCUGUUAGUUCUAUUAAAUCUAAUGAAGCUUUUGAUUUGAUUCAUUGUGAUUUAUGGGGUCCCUAUCAUUCACCUUCUUUGUCAAAGUCUCAUUAUUUCUUGACCAUCGUGGAUGAUUUUACUAGAACUACUUGGGUGUAUUUGCUUAAGUCUAAAACUGAAGUUUCUCAUUUAUUGAUUUCCUUUCUUGCAAUGGUACAAAGACAAUUUAAUCGUCUUGUUAAAAUCAUUCGCAGUGACAACGGCACAGAGUUUACUAAUAGUUCACUUUAACAAUGUUGUCGGGAAGAAGGAAUACUAAAUCAGUUUUCUUGUAUCUCUACACCCCAACAAAAUGGUGUAGUAGAACGUAAACAUCGACAUUUACUUGAUGUCGCUAGAUCCUUAAGGUUUCAUGCUGGUUUACCAAUAAAAUUUUGGGGAGAGUGCGUUCUAACAACAACUUAUUUAAUAAAUUACACACCAACACCUCUUUUAUCUGGAAAAAGUCCAUAUGAGUUGUUGUUUUCCUCAAAACCUUCUUAUACACAUUUACGUGUUUUUGGAUGUCUCUGUUAUGCUUCAGUUAUUCCACGAUCUCGUGAUAAAGUUCAUGAUAAAGCCACACCUUGUAUUUUUCUGGGUUAUCCAUAUGGUCAUAAAGGUUAUAAGGUCUUUGAUCUAAAAACACAUCAAGUAUUUGUUUCUCGUGAUGUGAUUUUUCAUGAAAGAGUUUUUCCUUAUAAAGAAAAUACUCUUUCUUCUCUUAAAAAUCAACCACGAGUACCUUUACCAUUGUCGAUUGAUGAUCCUGAUCAAACCUUUUCAAGCCAAGGUCCACCACAAGAAAAUCUCAAUCCAGGCACAAUACACCCAAAUAUGGCUCCAAGUGACACCAUAAAUCUUCAACAAUCACCAGAUCAGAUUAUUGAACCAUCAAGAACACCUACUGUUCCAAUUCGACCUCAACGCACCAAAACCCAACCAGCUCAUCUUAAAGAUUUUCUAGUCAAUCUCCCGAACAAUAAUAAAGGUUCUUCUUCAGGCUCAUCCAACACAGCUUGCUCAGGUAUUUGUCCAGCUUAUCCUUUAUCUCACUAUGUUUCCUACUCCAAUUUUUCCACGGCUCAUACAUGUUUUCUUUCGGCCAUUACCCACCAUAAUGAGCCAACAUCUUACAAACAAGCAGUACAGGUGGAACACUGGAAGCAAGUCAUGAGAAAAGAGUUGGAAGCACUUGAACAAAACCACACAUGGACCUUAGAACAUCUCCCUGUAGAUAAAAGAGUUAUUGGUUGUAAAUGGGUCUACAAAAUUAAAUUUAACUCUGAUGGAUCAAUUGAGCGAUAUAAGGCACGCCUUGUCGCUAAAGGCUACAACCAAGUAGAAGGUUUAGAUUAUAAUGAAACGUUUGCUCCAGUUGCCAAACUCACUACAGUUCGUACUCUUUUAGCUGUUGCAGCUGUGCGAAAUUGGGAUCUCCAUCAAUUGGAUGUGCAUAAUGCUUUUAUUCAUGGAGAUUUACAUGAAGAAGUUUACAUGCAACCACCACCUGGAUAUUUGUCGGCCGAAGAUAAUAGAGUUUGUCGCCUUCGACGGUCACUUUAUGGAUUAAAGCAGGCCUCAAGGCAGUGGUUUGUUAAGUUUUCUACUGCUAUUUUAAGGUUUGGCUUUACACAAUCCAAGGCUGACACUUCUUUAUUUUUAUAUCGACGAUGAAAUUCUUUUGCAGCUAUUCUUGUAUAUGUAGAUGAUGUGAUCGUUGCCACUAAUGAUUCAUUCAAUUUGAAAGCUUUAAAGGGCUACUUAGCAUCCUGGUUUCCUAUAAAGGAUUUGGGUCCUCUAAAGUAUUUUCUUGGUCUAGAAGUUGCUCGCAGUUCAGAAGGAAUAGUUCUUUCACAGCGAAAAUACACGCUGGAUAUUUUAAAAGAAACGGGCAUGCUGGGAUCUAAACCAGUGAAAUUUCCCAUGGAACAGCAUCACCGUUUAACUUUGGAUGAAAGUUCUCCUCUGCAGGAUCCUGGGCCCUUUCGUAGAUUGGUUGGGAGGCUGAUUUAUCUAUCUGUUACUAGGCCUGAUAUUUGUUAUUCAGUUCAUUUGUUGUCUCAAUUCAUGCACCAGCCUCGACAUAAUCAUUGGUUAGCUGCCCUCCGAAUAUUGCGUUAUUUAAAGCUUGCACCAGGCCAAGGUAUUUUCCUUUCAAUAUCAAGUCCUUUGUCUAUAAAAGGAUUUUGUGAUUCAGAUUGGGCAAGUUGUCCACUCACCCGUCGUUCAACCAGUGGGUAUAUCAUAUUUCUUGGUCAUUCACCUAUUUCAUGGAAGACCAAGAAACAGAUAACAGUGUCACGUUCUUCUGCUGAAGCAGAAUAUCGUUCAAUGGCAACAACUGCUUGUGAGAUCAUUUGGAUACGCCAAUUACUUUCAGACUUAUAUGUCCCUUGUUUGGAUCGUUUCUUUAUAUUGUGAUAGUCAAGCCGCACGUCAUAUUGCCAACAAUUCAGUUUAUCAUGAACGAACUAAGCACAUUGAGGUGGACUGUCAUUUUGUUCGGGACUGUAUUCAACGGGGUUUGUUGGUUUGUCAUCACAUUUCAACACAACAUCAACUUGCUGAUGUUUUUACUAAAGCUUUAGGUGCGCACCAGUUUCAAAUAUUAAUUGCCAAGUUGGGCAUUCGGAACCUCCACGCUCCAACUUGAGGGGGCGUAAUAGCGUAUUGGUAGUUAGUUAUAGAUAUGCAUUAGUUUGAAUUUUGAAUUGAAAAGAUCUGGUAUACAGUUUGUCUCCUAUAGGACUCUUCUAGGUAUAGAAUUUGUGUCCUUGUAGGAGUUAACCACAUCAGUUGUUCCUGUACUUUGUAUCUAUAAAAAGAGCGUCUUGCUCAUUCAUUAAUAAUAAGAUUGAUACUCUGUUUUACCAAUUUAUCACCAAUCGUUAUCAAAAUUUAAAUUGUCUAAUAUGCCCCCACUCUUCCUCUGUCACGUCUAUAUGUCAUUCAAUAUUUUGGAAGCAACCAAUUUAAGGCGAUAAAUGUGGGCAUGGGGUUUAGUGUUUCUUACUCUUUCUCUCUGUCUCUGUUAAUCAUAUAUUAAAGCAAAAGAAGAAAACUGAAGAGGAAACAGAGAAUGGUACUGAAAAUGGGCACAGAAUCACAAGUUGAAGUGAGCACAAGAAAGGGUGGUCUUAGAACCAUGCCAUUCAUCAUUUGUACUACUCUUACUCUAUUCUUUUACUUUUCUUUAGUUAAAUUGUUUUGCAAUGUGUUAUUAUAUUUCAAUUUUUCACUUUUUUGGUUGUUGUUGUUGUUUUCAGUGAAUGAAUCAUUUGAAAGGGUAGCAAGUUUUGGUUUACAAAUGAAUAUGAUAAUCUACUUGAUGACAUAUUAUAACAUGAGUGCUGCUACUGGAACUAGUAUUCUUGGACUAUGGGGUGCACUUUCAAAUGGAUUGGCUCUUUUUGGGGCAAUUACUGCUGAUUUUUACUUGGGUCGGUAUAGGGCUGUUGCCUAUGGAUCCAUCUCCACUCUUAUUGUGAGUGUUUUGAUGACAAUCUGUUAUCUCACUACUGCAAAUGUUUUUUCUUAUUUAUUUAUAGAAAAUGGUGAUGUUCAGACUAAAUUGGGUUAAUUUUAACAUUUUUCUUGGACAGGGAAUGAUUAUUCUAUGGCUCACAGCGAUGAUUCCACAACUCAAGUCUUCACCGUGCUCUCAGAUCCAACAUGUUUGUAAUGGAGUAACAGCACUCCAACUUGCUGUUCUGUUUUCAUCUUUUGUGUUUAUGUCAAUUGGAGCUGGUUUUGUUAUACCUUGUUCUAUAAUAUUUGGUGCUGAUCAAUUGGAAAAUAAAAAGAACCCUGAGAACGAGAGGAUUCUUGAAAGCUAUUUCAAUUGGUACUAUGCUAGCUCUGGGAUUUCACUUAUUCUUGCAGUUACCGUUAUCGUUUAUAUUCAAGAUAAUUAUGGUUGGAAAGUUGGCUUUGGUGUCCCUGCUAUCCUCAUGUUUUUGUCUGUCUUGAUGUUCCAAAUCGGUUCUCCUCUUUAUAUCAAAGUGAAAGCUAAAACUACAGAAAACUUGGUCAUAGGAUUGUUUCAAGCAGCUGUAGCAGCUUUUAGGAAAAGAAAUACCCGUCGUCCAUUGAGUGAUUGUGAUGAAUUCUAUCGUUGGCCACUUGAAUCAGACGUCUUGCCUCCAUCAAAGGACUUCAGGUCCGUGUCUCCAUCUUUUCACCAAUAUAAUGGCACUUCUAUUGUCAAUAUUAAUUGAAUUUAAGAUUUUAUGAUUUGUUAAUCACAAAACUUUUUCUCCUUUUUUCAGUGAUAUAUGAUAUUGCAGUUCAUCGUAAUUAAGUUUUAUUGUAUGUUAUAGUUGUUUAAAUAGAGCUUGCAUAAUCGAAGAUCCUCAACGAGAUUUGAAUCCUGAUGGAUCAGCUUCAAAUCCAUGGAAUCUCUGUAGUGUGGAACAAGUUGAAUCACUGAAGGCUCUUAUUAAAGCAGUUCCUAUGUGGUCCACCUGUUUCAUGAUCUUUGUGGAUAUAAAUGUCUUUUCAUUUUCCUUGCUUCAAACCAAGACAAUGGAUAGACACAUCUUUCCUCACUUUGAAGUACCAGCAGCAUCAUUCAGUGUGUUUAUGAUUGCUGCUUUAACAAUCUGGAUUGCUUUCUACGACCGUGUUUUGGUCCCUUUGCUAUCAAAAUAUACAGGACAACAAAGAGGGUUAAGUCCUGUCACCCGAAUGGGGAUUGGCUUAAUAUCCUCUGGUAUGUCUAUUGCAUUGUCUGCAAUAACAGAAAGCAUAAGACGACAAAGGGCAAUAGAGGAAGGGCAUGAGGACGACCCAAAUGCUUUAGUGAACAUGUCUGCUAUGUGGUUCGUGCCACAAUAUGCACUACUUGGAGUGGCUGAGGCUACCCAUGCAGUUGGACAGGUUGAGUUUUUCUACGCUUUAUUUCCCAAAAGCAUGUCCAGCAUCGCGUCAUCUAUGUACACUGUUGGGACUGCUGUGUCGAGUUUGAUUGGAAGUAUUCUGGUGAGUGGUGUGGAUUGGCUUUCAUCAACCGGAGGUAAAACAAGCUGGCUUUCGAGCAACAUUAAUCGGGGUCACAUUGAUUACUAUUUCUGGUUGCUUUCUUUCUUGAGUUUUAUCAACUUCUUAUAUUUUCUGGUCGUCUGCCGAUUUUAUGAAUCUCUCAAUGAUGGGAGCAGUAGGUUAUCUCAUGUGGCAGAAGAUAAAGAAUGUGAUUAUAGACUCUUACAUGAAUCUUGAUGUUAUGUUGUACUGCAUUUUGAAUGAUACAAUUAUUACUAAUUAUUUUAUUAUUAAUAAACAAUGUGGGAACAAUUCUAUUAUUUUCUUGAUUCCAAAGUAUUUGAUUGUCAAGAAGAGUCCGGUCACACCUCGAUUUCUUUAAAUCCAUAAAAUUGCUGCAGCGGGGAGUUUAUUUAAUGUAUUUUACUUUUUUUAAAAAAACACAUACUAGUAGCAGCUGUUUUCAAAACUUAUUUAAUGUAUUUUACUUUUUUUUUAAAAAAACACAUACUAGUAGCAGCUUUUUUUAAAACUUAAUUUUAAAGAGUAAUGCUAAAUGACCAGAAAAUUAAAAAGUCUAUAAUAUCUUUUUUAUUUUAAAAUAAAUUGUUCUUUUUUCCAUUUUUUAAUUAAAAGGUAUUAAAAUUAAAAAGGUAAAAAUGUUCAAAAAGAUAAAAUAAAAUAGUGUGAAAUAUAUUAUUUUACCAUUCUGGCUAAAUUUUCUAGCCAAAAGAAUUUUUUCAAUUUUAAAACUAAUAACCUAUAGACAAUUUUGUUUUUUCCUAUAUUGAUUGGAAUAUAAAAAUGGAAGUACAUUGGAAUCAUAAUACUAAUUACAUUGGAAUCAUAAUACUAAUUAAUAAUAUGUAAUGGAAGUACGUUGGAAUCAUAAUACUGCUUCUUCUGUUCCUAAUUACUUGUCCAUUUUUUUUUUUAGUUUUCUUUAAUUACUUGUCCAUUUUUCCUUUUGUAGUUGUACUUAAUUACUUGUCAAUUUUUUAAUCUAUUAUACUCUCAAUUAAUUACAUUGAAAAAGGUAAGACUUCUUGAAAACUUUAAGUUUUUAAGUCAUUCAUUUCAUAAUUAAUAGGGGUAAAAUGAUAAACUCACUAUAUCAAUAAUUGUUUUCUUAAUGUGUGUCAAUUCAAAAGUGGACAAAUAAUUAGGGACAGGGGAGUACUAAUUAAUACUCAUUUGCUACCAACUCUUAAUAAAUCCAAGUGGGAAUUAAUAAUUCCAAAAUUUACAAUUAAUUAAAUUGAUCUAUUUUAAUUUGAAUUUUAAAAUUAAUCAAUUUAAUUCUUGAAAAGCAAACCUGAUCACUUUAUGUGAUAAUUCUUUUUGGAUCCUUAUAAUUGUUUAAAGUUAUGUUUAAUGUAGUUGCAAAGGCAUUUGCUAUUGCCACUGCUCUUGUCUUUGAUGGUUCAGCCUUACAACCGGCCUGCUAUGGGCCCUUUAUGCAUUUUGGAAGAAAAAAAUGGUCUUUUUAACUCGGAAAAUUCAAAUAUAUUAUUUCUUAUUUAGACAUGAACUAUAUAUAGUUUAGAGUAGUAGUUUUCAAGAAUCUCAAAUGAAAUUGCACUCGUCUUAGCUUGAAUAGUCUCAUAAAAUUUUGAUGUCUAUAGAUAUACAGUUCACCAAUUUACAACUACCGUCGUCACUCACCAUUAUUAACUAUCACCAUCUACAUUCAUCAUCAUAACAACUCCCAAUCGCUAAUAAUAAUUGUCAUUAUUAUAUAUCGCCACAAAUCGUAAUUAUUCUCUACGUUCAUUAGCUAUUAUAUAAACCACAUUUACAAUUAUUAGCAUAACAACUUUCAAUCACUAAUGAGAAUAAUAAUAAUUAUUAGUCAUGGUAAAAAAAAUUAUAAUUAUUCUUCACCAAUUACUUCUCCACUCUUACUAUGAGUUAUGCCAUUUUCUCAAUUUCAACAUUAUGUGGUAGGUGGGGGCUACUCUGUGGCUGGCUAGAAAUAAAAAAUGACACGAGCUAAAUGAGUUAUUUCCUUGUGGAUGGGUGACUACAAUUAUUAACUUCAAGUAGUAUAAUAUUUUGCUAUAAAUUUUAGUAUGAUAACAAGUUAUACAUCAUAUUUGAUAUGUUAUUUGUCUACAUAGUAAAUUAUGAUUAUUUCCAUUCUAAUAUAUUAUUUACGUGACUAUAAAUCAUUUCAUUAAAGAUAAAAUUGAUAUUUUAAAGUUAAAUUGUUACGAAAUAUAGAAAACAUAAUAAAUAAAUAUGAAAUUUAACUUGACUUCAGUUGACAUACAUGUCCUCCAACUCUGAGUGUGCACAACUAAACAUUUAAACUUGUAUAAAAUUGAAUAAAUAAACAUAUUCAUCCUACGUGGCUAUUAUAUGUCAUAUGUAAUAUCCUACGUGUAUUAAACUGUUCUUUUUAAAUAUAUAUACAUAUAGGACAAUUCAAUAUUAUUUAUCCAUUUUAAAAUGAACGAAAAAUUAAGUCAGGAAGAUGUUUAUGAUUUGGUCUUAAAUUGAAAUCUCUAUUCGUCAUAAUAAAUCUCGAUCUGGAUUCAACUUCAACUGCUACACUUAAACAUGUCGAUUCCUUUCAUCUUUAAGAUGAUCACACCUAACACCAAUUUUAUAUUAGUCUGUUUAAAAAAAAUGUCAUUUUUUUAUAUCUCUUUAAUUUUAUUUUUUCACGAUAACAUAUUUAAGAUUAUAAAAUUAAAAAAAAAUAUUUACUUUGAUGUGUUGGGUAUAUAGUAAGAAUAAAUGAAAAAUGGAGGAAAGAUGAAAGGACGGAUGAUGAAGUGUUCUCUUAUGCUUUAAUAAAAAACAAUUCUUACUCAUUGGUGGAGGGAAAAAAAGUUUUGUGUUUAAACAAGGAAAUACUUUUAUUAGUCAUUAAAUGGGUUGGAAAGAGGGACUCCUUAUGUCAUCACUUACAAGAUUUUUGCUUUGAAAAAUGAUUGAAAGAUUAUUUUUUUGAUAAGGUUUUCUUUAAUUAUUAAUUUAAUUAAUUAUUAAUUUAUUAAUGAAUGGCAAAUAUCUUUUCCAUUUUAUUUAAAUUUCUCGUCAUUUUCUAAUGAUUGUUUUGAAAGGUUGCAAACUUACAAGAACAACCAUGUCUUAGUGACUAUUCUAGAAGGUUGCAAAUUUUCAGAAACAGUUUUCUUCGCUUUAAAUACUUGUGAUUCCUCGGACUUUUCACUAUGAAAUUUUUUGAACUUCUUCUUCUUUUGCACAAUUAAAUCUACUAUUCUAGUGUACUUUGCUCUCGUUGAAUGGCUCGCUGACACCAUUGUUUUUGUACCAAUACACUGGUGAGUAGAAUCUUUCUAUCAUGGGAGGAUAUAUUCGUUUAAACCUUGGUACUGAAGGAGAAUAAUUUCCUUAAUGACACAUUUUACAUUCAGUGUGCUCGAUAUUAUUUCUUUCUGUUUCAUCUUACUGUUACAGAUUCUGAUAUGUCUUUACAAUCAUUAAUUUAUGUUUUUGAUUAUAUGCUUUAAAUUUAUUCUUAUGCAAAGUUAUUGUUCUAAGUAUUUAUUAGUACAUAUUAGAUAAAAUGAUGUACACUCAAAAAUUAAACCAGAAGUAUAUAUAGACCAUUCAGCUUACUAAAUACAAGAGCAAAUGACAUAAAUGGUCCCUAAACUAUCCUAGUAGGUUUAAAAUAGUCCAUUAAUUAUAUAGUUGACGGAUAUGGUCCUUUAACUAUUCACCUUUUUGUCAAGUUUGAUUUCCAUCCACUUUUUAUAAAAACCGUCAACAAACGUCGUUCAGUACACUCUCUCUCUCAAUUUUCUUUUUCCCUCCUCUUUUCUUCAUUGUGAGACACUAAGUUAAGAAAAUCCUAGAUUCAUUUCAGAUUUGGCCAUUAGUGAAAGCUCAAGACAAUGAUUCUACGACCAGAAGGUGGUAUAGCUCCUCCGUAUGGUAAGUUUUCUAGAGUUCAAGUUUUUAUUUGUGAGAGAUUUUGUUGUAGAAAAGAAAAUAUCAAUUUUUAAAGAAAAUUAUUUUCGUUUAUAGAUUCUAUACACGAUGCCUUAAAAAUCAGCAUGAAAGUAACCCACGGUGGUUUUAUGAAGCACCAGCCUAAAAAACAUUAUUUUGGGGGUCGUGUCCAGUUCAUUGACCAUGUUGAUGUUUCAGAAAUAAAGUUAUCUCAAUUCAAGAAUAUGGCUGAGAUAUGUGGAUAUGAUAAUGAGUCAGUCGCAUUUUGGCACAAAUAUGGUAGACUCGGUGAAAAAUGAGGCUUGUUUCAACUGAUUUUGAAGCUAAUUUAGUAUUCAGAAACAUCCCUCGAGAUAGAGUAAUUGAGGUUUACUUUGAACAUUUAGAUUCCUAUAUUGGAAUGGAUAUCAGCAACAAUGUUGAACAGAAUAGAAAAGAGGGAAGGGCUGAAUAUUCUUCAAGUGAUGAUGAUUUUGAAGACUCGGAUAAUGAUUUGUCAGAUGAAUAUGAUAUUUUAGAAAGGAGUGAAAAUGGGACACGUGAAUAUGAAGUUAGCGAAGCAGUGAGAAAAAAGAUGGCUCAUGAAGAUGGAGAUUCUGAUUGUGUUAACUCUGAAGGGUUCAAGAGCCUAGAAAGUGAUUCUAAUAAGAAUGAUAAGGAAAGGAUACGAGCAGUUUGUGCAAAGCAUCCAGAUUGUGAUUGGGAGAUUAUGGCUUCUAAAAUGUAUAGAGAUUGUGCUUUUCAAGUAAAGACAUACAAUCUGACCCACAAGUGCAAAAAUUGGAACCAUGUUAACAAAACCAUCACAUCUUCGUUCAUUGCUAGAAAAUAUCUUGAUGCCAUAAAAACAAACAGGAAUUGGAAGAUCUCUGAAUUUAGAGAUCAUGUUAGUAUUCAGUUAAGAGCACAUGUGACAUUAUCUAAAUGUAGAAGGGCAAAAAAGAAGGCAAUUGCAAUGAUCGAUGGAGAUAUCUCUGAUCAAUUCAAGCUAUUGUGGAACUAUUGCAAUGAAAUAGUGAGGACAAAUCCAAAUACUUUUGUUUAUAUGAAGUUGAUUGAAAAUGAAGAAUCCUGCAAGCCUAAAGAUUUCAGAGAUUCUACAUAUGUUUUAGUGCUUGCAAGGAAGGAUUCAAUAGUGGUUGUAGAAAGAUAGUAGGAGUGGAUGGUUGUUGGCUCAAGGGUCCGAUGUAUGGGACUCAAUUGUUAACUGCUGUUGGGCUUGAUCCUAAUAACAAUAUCUAUCCGAUAGCAUAUGCAGUUGUGGAGAAAGAAAAUCGUGAGUCAUGGGCAUGGUUUUUGGAUCAUCUAAAGCUUGACUUGGAGAUCGAUGAUGGAGCUCACUGGACCUUCAUGUCAGACAAGCAAAAAGGUCUGAUAGAAGCAUUUAAUGAUAUAUUACCUUUGGUCGCUCAUAGAUUUUGUGUUAGACACUUGCAUAGUAAUUUCAAAAGGGCCGGAUUUUGUGGUGACACACUAAGAAAUGCACUUUGGAAAGCUGCUAGUGCGACAACAGUAAGGUGGUUUGAUGAACGCAUGGUUGAAAUAUUUGAUUUGGAUCCCGAAGCUGCUAUUUGGUUGAGAGAUAAGUCACCUAGUGAAUGGUCUAAAUCUCACUUCUCCGAAGAUGCAAAAUGUGAUACCUUAGUGAAUAACAUAUGUGAAUGUUUUAAUAGCAUGAUAUUAGAUGCAAGAGAUAAGCCUAUUAUCACUCUUUUGGAGAAAAUUCGGUAUAUGCUCAUGACAAGAAUGCAAGCAAAUAGGGAUAAAUCUGUCAAGUGGAGUUCUGAUGAUAUUUGCCCCAAAAUUAAAAAUGUUUUGUGCAAAAGUUAAGCUGCUGCUGCUGAAUAUAUUCCUAGAAAAUCAAAUGAGUGGAACUAUGAGCUUAUAGGAGCUAGCAUAACUGACAUUUGGGCCGUAGAUUUGUUAAACCGAAAAUGCAGUUGUAGAAAAUGGAAUUUGAUAGGGCUUCCUUGUAAACAUGCUAUAUCAGCAAUUUGGGCUAAAAAUGAUGAAAUCAGUUCGUAUAUUGAUGAUUGUUAUAAGGUGGAAACUUAUAGAAGGAUCUAUGAAUUUGCUAUUCUUCCUAUGAAUGGUCAAAAUAUGUGGCCGCAACAUGAGAAUAUUCCUCAUUUGCCUCCCAGAGUAGUAAGACAAAGUACUAAAGGGAGAAAACAAAAGAAGAGAAGAAAAGAAUCAGAUGAAGUGGGCACGAGUAGGACAAAAGCAAAGAGGAAGCAAAAAUAUUUAGGAUGCAGUAGAUGCCACAAGCUUGGACAUAACACAAGAACUUGCAAGUAUAAUUUGUUGCAGACAGAGUCUCAAAAUGUGUCUCCGCUAUAUCAUGAGUCAUCUUCAUCAUGUGCUCCUACAAAACUACCAGUACUUUUUCUUUUAUCUAUAGCAUAUUUCACUUACUUUAUUAUAUUAAAUUUGUGUAAACGCUUCCACUAAUUCAUUAUACUUCACAGGUUAGAAGAGCUGUAGAGAGUCAAGCUAAUUUCAACUCAACAAAGUGACGUGCUCUCGUGAUUGAUGUAGUUUGGCGACAUUUGACUUAUGGUGCAAAUUUACAUUUGAGUGAUAAUUUUAUGUGAUUAGUUGUUUUUUUGUUGUUUUAUGUUAUUUUCUUUACUUGAUCAUUGUAGUGUUUUUGAUGUUGUUUUUGUGCAGCUUAGGGUAGCUUGGUGAUGUUUUUUGGUGCAGUUUGACGCAGUUUUUAUGCUGGUUUUUGUGCAGCUUGGUGCUGAUUUUUGGUGGUUGGGUGCUGCUGUCUGUGCAGCAGUUUGGUGACUUUUUGGAGCUGUUUUUGUGCAGUUUGGUGCUGAUUUUUGGUAGUCUGAUGCAACAGUUUGGUGUUGAUUUUUUGGUAGUCUGAUGCAGCAGUUUGGUGCUGAUUUUUUGGUGGUUUGAUGCUGCUGUCUAGUGAUGUGUUAUGUAUAGUUUGGUGCUGAUUNNNNNNNNNNNNNNNNNNNNNNNNNNNNNNNNNNNNNNNNNNNNNNNNNNNNNNNNNNNNNNNNNNNNNNNNNNNNNNNNNNNNNNNNNNNNNNNNNNNNNNNNNNNNNNNNNNNNNNNNNNNNNNNNNNNNNNNNNNNNNNNNNNNNNNNNNNNNNNNNNNNNNNNNNNNNNNNNNNNNNNNNNNNNNNNNNNNNNNNNNNNNNNNNNNNNNNNNNNNNNNNNNNNNNNNNNNNNNNNNNNNNNNNNNNNNNNNNNNNUUGAUGUAAUGACCAAUUAUUAACAUGAAAAUAGAAUCGUAUUUUUUCUCACAAUAUUUUGUCAAUUGUGUUCGCUACUUUGCAUUUUGAUUUAACUCGCAUGAAAUAACGACCAACGACUUAAUUGCAAUAAGACAAUAAAGAAAAGAAUUGAAAAAAAAAGUGAGAAAAUGGACAAAAUAAAUGACAAAAAAGAAAGUCAAUGGAGAUGAAUUGGAAAAAAGAAAGUGAGGAAACAAUGAGAUAAUGAAGAAAAAGAGGUGGAAAAAGAAAGAAGACAGAUUGACUUAACAGAUGUUAAGUAACAGUUUUUUAAAAAAGUGGAUGGAAACCAAACUUGACAAAAAGGUGGAUAGUUAAAGGACCAUAUCCGUAAACUAUAUAGUUAAGGGACUAUUUUAGACCUACUAGGAUAGUUUAGGGACCAUUUAUGUCAUUUGCUCCUAAAUACAACAUCGAAUUUAAGGCAAGGAACAGUCCCAUCUCAAUGAUUAUGUAUUUAACAUGUCAAAUUCAAAUCAUAACUUUUUACAUAUCAACGAUUGAUAGAGACUUCUAAUUCUUUUUAAAAAUGAGUGGAAUCUUGUUGGGGGCCAUUACUAAUGUUUCUUACUUGGGUCGGUAUAAGGUUGUUGCCUAUGGAUCCAUGUCCACUUUUAUUGGUAGUUGUGCCAUCUUCAACAUGUUUCUUGUUUUCCUUUUACUCGUUUGUUCUUAAUUACUUGUUCUUUUUUUUUUACUUGUCUCUUUUUACUUGUUCAUUUCGAUAAAUCAAGAAAUGACAUUUUUUUUACUAUUAUAUCUUCAAUUAAUUAGGCUCUUAUUCUAUUUAUUCUAUUGGAUCUAUAUGUCGGGUAGGUAAUCGACACAGAAGUCUCAUUGUUCGUGGUAUUGCAAUGAAUUCAUUAUAUAAUAAUUGAAAAAGGUAGAACUUCUUAAAAAAUCUUAAGAUUUUAAUUCAUGCAUAUCAUAAUUAAUAGGAUAAAACGGUAAACUCAUUACUUGUAGAUUGGAUGCCAACAAACAAUAUCAAAUAUUAUAGCAUACCAAAUUUAUAAAAAAAAUACCUAGUUUUACGGGUUUGUGUGCCCUAUAAAUGAAUUCAUGUCAUAGAAUUAAAAAUUAUAUUCCUCACUAGCAUGUGACUGUGCCAAUUCUGUUCUGCUAAUAAUCCCGUCAUACCAAUUGGAGGAGACCUUGCAAAUUGAUUUUGUUUUUCACUAUACUUAAAAGAAGCUUUACCUUUACUUUUUCCGUUUCAAAAUAAAUGGUAUUUUCUAAUUUUUCUAUUUUAUUUCAAAGGUGUUUCAAGAAGACAUAAACAAUGGUUGAAUAGAGCUUGCAUGAAUGAAGAUCCUCAAAGAGAUAUAAAUCCUGAUGAAACUACUUUAAUAAAAUUUUAAUGUUAUUAAGAUAUUUAUUCAAACGAUACUACAAAGAUGUCAAUUCAUCAAUUUCAUCCAAUCACAAUUAUCAUCACUUACCAUUACCAACUGUUAUUGUUAUUAUUAUUAUUAUUAUUAUUAUUAUUAUUAUUAUUAUUAUUAUUAUUAUUAUUAUUAUUAUUAUUAUUAUUAUUAUUAUUAUUAUUAUUAUGUCAUAUCAACCAUUACUGCCCACGACCCAAAUUAUCAUUCCACCACUACCAUCAUUAAGCAAUUAGAACAGACUAAACAAAAUUAGGGUCUAAAACAAAACUUUGAGAGAGGCCCUAAAAUUGGGAGACAUUUCCUCCAUGUAUGUCAAGUUAAUUGGGACUUACUAAUAAAUAAAGAUAUACUUAUUUAUAUUUGUUGAGUGCACCCGCCAACAACGUAUAUAUUCAGCGAAAUCAACUCAGCAUCAAACUAAUGAGAGAAGUAUUGAAAAUACCUCUCAACUUGACGUAAAUUAUUAGUUUAGUCUUUAAAUUAUUGACAACUUUAAAAACACUCAUCUACUUGACUAACUAAACUUAGAUAUACUCCGAUCUGCCACAUGACAUGACAAGUGAUCUCAAUCUUUUGUAGGAGUAUGGGGCUCUUAAUAAAAAGUCGAGAGAAGUAUUUUCUUCUAAACUUGACGAGAAUUUAGAGACAUAGUUCACUCAUGUUGCAGUAUAGGAAGUGAAGAGGAAAAACAGAGAGAGAGAGUGAAAAUGGGGACAGAAAUUAGACAAGAAGAAGAGAAGCCAAGAAAGGGUGGUCUUAGAACUAUGCCUUUCAUCAUUAAUAAUUCCUCAUUUUUUGUUCUUUAAAUUGUUUGCAUGUGUUAAGUACUAAAUAAUUUUUUUUUAAUGUUUUUGUUCCAGUGAAUGAAUCAUUUGAGAUGAUAGCAAGUUAUGGUUUACAAACAAAUAUGCUAAUUUAUUUGAUGACAUUUUAUAACAUGAGCGCUGCCACUGCUACUACCAUUCUUGAACUAUGGGCUGCACUUUCAAAUGGAUUGGCAAUUGUUGGGGCCAUUAUUGCUAAUUCUUACUUGGGUCAGUUUAGAGCUGUUGCAUUUGGAUCCAUUUCAACUCUUAUUGUGAGUUUGUGACAUUUUCAACAAGAAAAUACUAAUUGCUGAUAUUUUAAAUUUGUAUAAAGUUGAACAAAUAGACAUUUGAUCACUUUAUAUAAAGUUGAACAAAUAGACGAUUGUCACGACCCGAGCCUAUACCCCGAAAGUGACACGGCGUACAAGACUCCAAAAAGUCUCAUACAAGCCUCAUAGCGUUCAUAACAUUCGAUAUAAGGAAAAUGGUACAGAAUUAAAACUUUUCUUUAAAUCCAUACAAUACAAAAACAUUUAAAACAGCGGAAGUGUAUUGUCUCAAAUGGCCAUCUGAACAAUAUCUUGAAACAAAAUGAGGGUCACAACCCUUUACAAUCGAAAGUCUAACAAUAGUCUUUAACAUGAAAGAAAAUGAAACAUCAAGUACUUGUCCUCGAUCUAUGAGGACAUACCACUUAGUCUUGGAGAAUCUCAAAUUCAAGCCCUUGAACUAGAGAGAAAGCAACUCACUUGCCGGAACCUACACUUGUAGUAAAAUAAGAGAAAUAUGGGUUAGCACAAUUAAGUACUAAGUAUGAUAGCCAUGCAAAAUCCAUGCUUAAAAUGGACAUUUUGUUUGAAAGUCAUGCUUUUAUGUCAUUUUGAUAAAACUUCAUGUACAUGAGUAUAAGAGGCAUAAUAUACAAACACAACCAACAAACAAGUCAUUUCUCACAUUUGAACAUAAUCAACAUACAUGACAUUUCAUUACAUUAAGCUUUCACCUCAAAUAACCCGAAUCCAUACCUUGUGCAAUGUAUGAAUAGCGUCCCAUACCACCAUCCACACUAGAUACCACAUUAAGGCAACCAAAAGUGAACUUACCAUUCAUCCUUUCCAUUUUUACACAAUACUCAUACAUAAGAGACAUAACCAUUUCAUAAGUCAUAACAAGGAAAUAACUCAUAAUACAAUCCAAGUAUAGCAUGCAUCAUUACAUUAGACAUUUAAGUCAACAUUCUUUAUUAGCUUCAUUUAGAGCACUUUCAUUCAUUAGUCAUUAAGACCUUAGAGAACUCACUAUAGCCCUCUCAAAGCCUACUUGUGCAAUGCAUGGAUGACAUCCCAUACUACCGCCCACACAUCAUAGAACUUCUUAAGAAACCAUAGUGCACAUCUCACAUGAUGGGAAUAAGCAUUAACCGACAUAGACCAUGAGAGCUAACCAUGGAGUCCGGUGUCAUAUAGCCCUACACCGUAAAGAAGUGGUCUACUUGCCAAAGUUAGGACCGAUAACAUUUUAGCUUGGAUGGAAUCCACUAACUAAUAUCCUAUGUGGACACAUAGUUAUGGGAUAUGAAGAUGCUCAUUGGAACCCGGCCUAACAUGGGGAGAGUUUCCAUCUUACCAUAUCCUAUCGGUGCUUAGCCUCCAUUCCUAUAGAGUAGUUCAUUCACAUUAACAUUAUUGUACUUGAGAGGGCUACCAAUAUUAGGUCUACCAACCCAAAGUACAUUACACAUGAAAGGGUCACCACCGUUAGGUCUACCGAUUCAAGGUACAUUAGGGAUAACUCAUUGAAUUUUCAAGAAGGGUGCCAUCAACAUUAGGUCUACCGAUACAAGGUUCAUCAUUUCACACAUGAAAGGGCCACCAACACUAGGUAUACCGAUUCAAGGUUUAUCAUCAACAUUCAUGGAAGGGUGCCAUAAGCCUACCGAUCCCAAAGUUCAUUAAUGUUAUCUAUGAAAGGGUGCCAUAAACCUACCAAUCCAAGAUACAUCAUUAGGAUAGGUCAUAGAACUCAUCAUGCAAGGGCUACCAACAUUGGUCUACCGAUUCAUGUUCAUUAAGUCAAAAUAAGUUCAUUAGUCAAGAAGAGGAUGCCUAAGCCUACCAAUUCAAUAUAUAACAUUCAAGGUCACAUUCAUCAAUACAAGAAAAAGAUGCCUUAAGCCUACUAAUUCAAGAUACAUCAAUCCACAUUACUUUCAUUUAUACAAGAAAAGGUUGCCUAAGCCUACCAAUUCAAGAUAUACAUCACAUAGAAGAAAACCCUUCACAUUCUAUCAUCAUCAUUCAUGAGUGUUAAUUGAGAAUAUGCUAUCAACAACAACACUAUUACAUUCUAAUCAUGAUAAUCAUAUUAUCAUUGAAUUCACUUGCAAAUCCUUCACAUCAUAAUCAUGCAAUAACCUUCAUACCUUACUUUUCAAGGCCAAGGAUCACAUUCACCCACACACCUUAAAAUACUACAAUUAGGCAUGAGUAAUAAUAUAAUUUCAACAAUCAAUAUAAACAUAAACAAUUCAACAUACUUUCAUGAUCAAUCAAUUCCCAAUCACAAAUCACAACUUAAGAAUUUAGGGAAAAACAUGGGUUCAAGGGGAAAAUCAUCUUAAUUGGCCAUUCAAUCAUCAAUUAAUCCAUGAUUCACAACAUAAAUGCCUUUUGAAAUCAUUUGGAAUGGAACCCAUGUAUAGAUUGAAAACUUAGGAUUUUUGGGGAACUUUGGAGAUUUGGAGAUUUGAAAUCACUUUUGAAAUUGGCUCCUUGAAAGAAACUAAGUCAAGGAUGAAGACUACCAUACCUUCUAUGGAAGAAAUCCAUGAAAAUCACUUGAAAAAUAUGAAGACUUGACCUUGAGAUCUUGAAUCCUUCACCUCAAAUGGAGGUUUCUAGAGAGAGAACUUUUGAGAGGAGAUGGGAGGUUUGUUGGAGGUUUCUAGAGAGAGAACUUUUGAGAGGAGAGGGGAGGUUUAGUUUGUAUUUUUGGGUUUUGAAAUAAUGAGUUGUAAAUGUGUUUUAAUACUUUAAAAACCCUUAAAAUAUCUUAAUAAACCCAUAAUAACCGUCCCCCAACUAAAAUAACUUAAUUAGGAAUUUACCAUACCACCCCUCAACUUGGUCGAAAAUGGACAGCAAGCAGGUGUGACCUACGACCUCUUACCUAUGGACCAUAGGUGGGGUGACACCCCAUCUUGCUGGUCUGUGGUUUGGUUCUGGGGAUCACCCUUUGGGGCCUUGACCUAUGGAGGCCAUCCACGGGGCGUGGAUGGACCUACGGGACGUAGGUCCCCAUCCGUAAGUCAUCCCAAAUUUCUAGCUUUUUGGUUUUCUUGGGGUCUUGGGGUUUAGGCUUAGGGUCCUCCUCAAGGACCCGUUGGGUGGUCCUUGGGGAGUCGUACCUUGAAGUUUAACCGCUAAACCCUUCAACCUAAGCUCGGGACAACAUUCUACCACAUGAAACCCCACAACAACUCAAACACACAAUAGUUAGGCUCUAGUUUCACCUAGUUGUUUUACGGGUCGUUACAACGGUGGAUUCCAAGAACAUGCGACUGGUGUUGUUUAAACAAAUGCUCAAUAGACAAAGCUUGAAGCACUGAAGUUGAAAGAUUUAAAGGCAAAAAAUUAUAUUUUUCAAGCCAUUGAUCGUUCAGUAUUGGAAACAAUUCUUUGCAAGGAUACGUCAAAGCAAAUUUGAGACCUCAUGAAGAAGAAGUACCAGGGAAAUGCAAGGGCAAAGCAAGCACAACUUCAAACUCUACGAGGUGAGUUUGAGAACUUGAGUAUGAAGCAGGGUAUGAAGCCAGGAGAGUCGGUGCCAAUGUACUUCUCACGCACUAUGACAAUUGCCAAAAAGAUGCGGAUUCAAUGAGAGAGAGUCUUGAAGACGUCAUCAUUGUUGAGAAGAUCGUGCGGUCCAUGUUGCCAAAAUUCAAUUUUGGUAUCUACUCCAUUGAAGAGUCAAAAGUUUUGGACACUCUUUCACUUGAUGAACUACAAAUUUCUUUAAUGAUUCAUGAGUAGAAGAUUGUUAAACAUGAUGUAGAAGAGCAAAAAUUACAAGUAACCACAACCUCCAAUGAUUAUGAGCGUAGAAGGAGCAAGUGGAAUGAAAGAAACUCAUAGAGAACUGAAAAGGGAAAUCACCAAAAGAAUGGUCACCAUAAUCGUGAUCAAUGACACUCCUCCAAUGGGAAGUCAAGGUUUGCAGAUAAGUCUCAUAUCGAGUGUUAUAGAUGUCACAGGUAUGGUCGUUGCCAUUCUAAAUGUCGUACAAAUCUAAAAAAUGUACAUGAAGAGAACUCAAAUUUUGCAGACAUAACUAAGGAUAAAGAGGUCUCUUUGUUAAUGGUGAGCCAAUCCUUGGAAGAAUGCCACAAAAGUGUAUGGUAUUUAGAUAUGGGCUGUAACAACCAUUUGUCUAGAAAAAAAAUGUAUUUUAUGGGCUAGAUGAAACUUUUCGCACAACAAUCAAGUUUGGAGAUAAUUUCUGCAUUGCUGUCAAAGAGAAAUGGAAGGUGAAACUCCAAAUAAAGUCUUCAUCUAUGCAGAUUAUCUCUGAUGUUUCUUUGCGCCAAAUCUUAUCAGUGUGGGUCAGCUUCAAGAGACCAGAUACGAGGUGUCUAUCAAGCAUGGAAUUUGCAGAAUCCAAAAUUCUAAUCUUGGAUUAAUUGUUAAAGCUAAAGAUGACUGCAAAUAAGUUUUUCCCACUUGAUAUGCAAAAUAUUGGCACUACCAAUUUUUGUUUUUAAACAAAGUUGAAUAGUCAAGCAUGGCUCUGGCACUAUAGAUAUGGGCAUUUGAAUUUUGGAGGACUGAAAAUGUUGCAACAAAAGAAGAUGAUUAUAGAUCUUCCUAAUUUUUAUAUUCCUACAGAUAUUUGUGAAGAUCAUGUCAUUGAAAAGCAAUCUCGCGAUAACUUUCCAAAAGAAAAAACAUGGAGAGCUAAAAGACAACUAGAGUUGGUUCAUUCAGAUAUUUGUGGACCAUUAAAUCCAAUAUUCAAUCGAGGAAAACAUUAUUUUAUAACGUUUACUGAUGAUUAUAGCUGAAAGACAUAUGUUUAUUUUCUGUAAAAAAAAUAAAUAAUCUAAAGCUUUUAUCAGUUUCAAAAGCUUCAAAGCUCUUGUUGAGAAGGAGACAGGAUGUUCCAUAAAGAUUCUUGGUACUGAUCGUGGAUGGGAGUAUCUUUCACAAGGAUUUAUAUUUUUGUUUUUAGUUUCAUAGGAUACAACGGCAACUUACAACAGCUUAUACUCCUCAACAAAAUAGAGCAUGUGAGAGAAAGAAUCAGUAAAUCAAGAACGUUAUGCGGAGCCUUUUACGAAAGAACCAUGUUCCAAAAGUUAUUUGGCCUGAAGCAGUUUGCUGGAGCGUCUUUGUUUUGAAUAGAAGUCCUUCUCGUGCUAUUCAGAACAUGACACCCGAAGAAGCUUGGAGUGGACAACAAAUAGUUGUUCAACACUUAAGAGUGUUUGAAUGUAUUGCAUUUGCUCAUGUUCCGGAUCAGAAAAGGACAUAGAUCAAUGAUAAAGAAAAUAAGUGAGUUUUCAUGGGUGUUAGCAUGGAGUCAAGAACUUACAAGUUGUAUAAUCAUAUCAGCAAGAUGGUGAUUAUUAAUUGUGAUGUAGUGUUUGAUGAAGAUAAUUUCUGAUCAUGGGAAGAAACGCCAAACAACCAACAACUUCCUUUGGAUCUUGACGAUGGAUACAAAGAGCAAGAGCAACCAGUAGCUGAUGAAGGUGCUUCUACCUUGGUACAUCAAUAAUGCACUAGCUUCUGACCUCAACAAAAUUGAAGAAGACCAACAUAGAUGGUAGAUUAUGAGGUGAGUGGAAAUGAUCAAUCUGGAAAUGAAGAUUCAUCUACUUAUUUAACUUUAUUUUCUGGUUUUGAUCCCGUAAGAUUUGAGGAUGCCUAUAAAGAUGUAAAGUGGUAGAAAACAAUGGAUGCUGAGAUUGCCGCAAUUGAAAAGAACAAUACUUGGGAGCUUACUGAUCUUCCAAAAAGCCAAAGGUCGAUUGGAGUUAAAUUGAUUUAUAAAACCAAACUCAAUGAGUCUGGUGAAGUUGAUAAGUACAAGGCGUGCUUGGUGGUGAAAGGAUACAAGCAAGAGUAUGGUGUGGAUUACAAGGAGGUCUUUGCUCUUAAAGUCAGACUUGAUACCAUCCGAAUUGUGUUGGCAUUGGCAGCUCAAAACAAUUGGCCGAUUUAUCAACUUGAUGUAAAAUCAGCCUUUUUGCACGGAGAGUUGCAAGAGCAGGUAUAUUUUGAUCAACCUCUUGGUUAAGUGAUGCAUGAAAGUGAGCAUAAAGUUUAUAGAUUGAAUAAAGGUUUUAUAUGGGCUAAAACAAAAUCUCCGAGCUUGGUAUAAUCGCAUUGAUGCAUAUUUUAAUCUAUGGGAUGUUGUUCAUGGGAGUAACACAAGUCCUUCAGCUGACAGAUCAGAAAAUAGCAGUGCGUACAAGAAGUGGAAGCAGAUUAAUGUGAAGGCAGAGUUCAUUCUGAAAAAGACAAUCUUCUCCAAUUUAUUCGAUCAUAUUAUAAAGUGUAAAUCAGCUCAUGAAAUAUGGAGGAACCUCGAUCAUUUGUUCAAUAAUAAGAAUGAAGCUCGGCUGUAGAUGUUGGAGAAUGAAUUGGCUAACACCACUCAAAGUAAUCUUUCUAUCGUCGAGUAUUUUUGAAGAUUAAGAACUUAUGUUCUGAGAUAUCUUUGUUGAAUCAGGAAGAGGCUAUCACUAAAGCACGAAUGAGAAGAACUAUCAUUCGUAGUUUGAAAUCUGAAUAUAUUUUAUUUGUGACGUCGAUUCAAGGACGGGCUCAACAAUUAUCUUUGGAGGAGUUUGAAAAUUUGUUGUCGUCACAGGAAUUCCUAGCCAAGCAGUUGGCUAGUGUAUUUAUCAAAUAUGGAGAAGGAGAUGCUCUUUACUCCACAAGAGAAACUUCAAAGGAAAAUCAAGAGAUAUGUCACACUCUCGAUCCUCAGAUGCUUCAAGCUCGCUUAGAAAGAAGGAAAAAUCUUCUAACUAUUCUGGUAAGAAGCCUCUCAGAUGUUAUCGUUGUGGAGAAGUAGGACACACAAAAAGAUAUUGCCGAGCCAAGGAGAGCAAUAUGGAUCAAAAAGUUGCCGAAGAAGAAGAAGAGUGGGGAAAAUGUUUAGUAGCUGAGGCUCGAGCAAUAGAUGUCAUGAUUUCCAUCAAUCUUGAAAAAGACUGGAUCAAGGAUCCAGAAUAUAAUAUAGCCAAUCAUGUGGAGAAGCAAGAACUGAUUUUGUAGUCAUGAAACAAGAAUUUUUUUAGGAUGUUCCAAUUGGUGAUAUGGUAGCUGCUAUUGAAGAAAUCAAAGAAGAAAAUCUUGAACAUGCAAUAUCUGAAACUACAUGUGCUAGUGGUGACCUUUACAAAGAAAGCAUUGAGAGAGAUGUUUUGGAAGUAAAAGUAUAUGAUCAAUCAUCUGUAAUAUCAAGGUCAAUUAAUGACUCAGAGCAAAUUAUGAAGGCAGAUGGAGAAAGUAGAGAUCAAAUAGAGGAAGAAGCUGAUAUUGAAGUCUCUGAGACAAAGGUAUGAUUUUUGAAAGUUUUGAAGCUGCCAAAAAAUCUAUCGAGGAGAUGAUAAGAUAAUAUAGCAGUGGAUCAUAUGUUGGUGUUGAGACUUCACUGGAAAUUGAAAGUGUUUCUAUGAUAAUAUAAUUAUCGAGAAACUAAGAGAAAGGGGGAGUUCAGGAAAUCUCAAGGAGAUAAUUUACAUGGAUCAUUCGAUAACAAAAAAUCUUUAUUAUUUGAAGAAGCAAGAGGAGUCCAGAACAAACUGCCGAGAUUUUCCCCAAGAUGUGGCUCAAAGCUUUGUUUGAGCUCCUCCACGACAAGUGUGGGGUAGUUUCCAAAAAAAAACAAACACUUUAAGGGGGAGUGUGAAAAAUUAAUGUUGAUUUUGUGGAGGUACAAAAAAAUAUCUUAGAUAUUUAGUUGAACUUUCUAGAAUUUUGUAGGGUAAAUAUCUUUGAUAUUUAUAUUUAAGAAAAAAUCUAGAUGUUCUAGAUAAUUAGAUAUUUAUAGUAAAGUAUAGAAAUAUCUAGAUUCUUGUUAUAUAGUCAGAAGGUAAGAAUAUCUAGAUAUUUCUUGUAGAUGUAUCUAGAAUAAUUUCUAGAAGCAUUCCUAUACAAAUAUAAAUAAGGGUGACAUUAGGCAUUAGUAAUUAACCCAACCUAAGAACAACUCAAAUCAAAUAGUCUUCUUCCAUGCCCAUUUUUUUUAAUCCUAAAUACACAUCCUCCAUUCUAGCUUCCUCUUUUUUAGUUGAAUCUUCCGAUCUUAGCUAACGAUUUUGGGCUAGCAGACGUAUUCUUCGAUUAUAUUUUUCUUCUGUUAUUCUCUACACUAUGAACUACUCUUUUCGUUUUAAUUUAUCUAUCUUUCGUCAUAUAUUAAAGGAAAGAGCAAUGUGAAGAGGAAAAACAGAGAGACAAAGUGAAAAUGAGGACAAAAAUUAGACAAGUAGAAGAGAAGCCAAGAAAGGGUGGUCUUAGAACUAUGCCUUUCAUCAUUGGUAAUUCUUUCUUUUUUUUUUGUUUAAAUUGUUUGCAUGGUACUAAUUAAUUAUUUUUUUAUGUUUUUGUACUAGUGAAUGAAUCAUUUGAGAUGAUAGCAACAUAUGGUUUACAAACAAAUAUGCUAAUUUAUUUGAUGACAUUUUAUAACAUGAGUGCUGCCACUGCUACUAGUAUUCUUGGACUAUGGGCUGCACUUUCAAAUGGAUUGGCUAUUGUUGGUGCAAUUGUUGCUGAUUCUUACUGCGGUCGGUUUAGAGCUGUUGCCUUUGGAUCCAUCUCAACUCUUAUUGUGAGUAAUUUGUCACAUUUUCACAAUUUCAACUAAUUGCUGAUAUUUUAAAUUUAUAUAAAGUUGAACAAAUAGACAUUUGAUCCCUUCUUCGACAGGGAAUGAUUGUUCUUUGGCUCACAACUAUGAUUCCACAACUCACGUCUGUAUCCUGCUCUCACUUCCAACAUGUUUGUAAUGGAACAACAACAAUCCAACUUGCUGUUCUGUUUUCGUCUUUUGGGUUUAUGUCAAUUGGAGCUGGUUUUGUUAGACCUUGUUCUAUAAUAUUUGGUGCUGAUCAAUUGGAAAAUAAAAAGAACCCCGACAACCAGAGGCGUAUUGCUAGCUAUUUCAACUGGUACUAUGUUAGCUCGGGAAUUUCAACUAUGCUUGCAGUUACUGUAAUUAUU